rnacentral:lncRNA from 1 species
AAGGAAUCAACGCAAAAGAAUGUUUCUGUGAUUUAACAAAACUAAUUUCGUGCGUGCAAAGUUUCUGUUUUUCAGCAGAAUCAAAUUAACUAUCACCAUAGGUUAUCCUAUAGGUUCUACUUGGCACAAACACUAAUUAAAACAUAAAAAAACAUCUAAACAGAAGGUAGAUGCAAAAUUUAUUACUAAACAGAAACAAAAACAAAAACAAAAAACACAAAUAAAAUUGGGUUGCCUCCCAACUAGCGCUAUCGUUAACGCCCCUAGCUAGGCAUACAAGCGAAGAUAGAUCUAAGUUGUGCCAUCUUUGGCACUCCAUUCAUAAGUAGCCCACAUGAUAGAUUCAUAAGGUAAUUUAAUUUUCUUUCUUAUAAAGUGCUCCAUGCCUUUCCUUAAUGGAAAUUGGAAUCUAAUAUUCCCUUCCUUCAUAUCAAUAAUCGCGCCAAUCGUUCUAAGGAAAAUUUUACCAAGAAUAACAGGGCAAGAAAGAUUGCGAUCUAUAUCAAGAACGAUAAAAUCUAUGGGCACCAAAUUUCUAUUUGCAACAAUGAGAACAUCAUUGAUCCUUCCCAUUGGCUUUUUAAUGGUGGAAUCCGCAAGGUGCAAAUUUAAAGAGCAAUCAUCAAGAUCAUGGAAACCUAGAAUAUUACAUAAAGUUUUCGGAAUUGUGGAAACACUAGCACCCAAAUCACACAAAGCAUAACACUCAUGAUCUUUAAUUUUAAUCUUUAUAGUAGGUUCCCACUCAUCAUUAAGUUUUCUAGGUAUAGAAACUUCCAAAUUAAGUUUUUCAUCAUAAGAUUGCAUCAAGGCAUCAACGAUAUGUUUGGUAAAAGCUUUAUUUUGACUAUAAGCAUGAGGAGAAUUAACAACAAAUUGCAACAAGAAAAUACAACCUUCUAAAGAACAAUUAUCAUAAUCAAAUUCCUUGAAAUCCGAGAUAGUGGGUUCAAUGCUAUUUAAAGUCAUGACCUCUCCAAUCCCACUUUUACCAAAUUUAGCAUCAAGAUCUAAAAGUUCCGAAUUAUUGGGACGCCUUCUAACUAAAGUUGACUCAUCUCAAGUCCCAUUAUUAUUAAGAUUCAUAUUGCGAAACAAAGAUCUAAUAGGGGACACAUCAAUAACUUUAAGAUCUUCAUCAUUAUUUUCAUGGAAACUAGAAGAAUAGGCCUUUACAAAGCAAUCUUUCUUAGCACGCAAUCUAGCGGUUCUUUCCUUGCACUCAUCAAUGGAAAUUCUCAUGGCUUUGAGGGACUCAUUGAUAUCAUGCUUAGGAGGAGUAGAUCUAAGUUUAAGAGAAUCAACAUCAAGCGAAAGUCUAUCAACGUUCCUAGCCAAAUCAUCAACUUUGAGUAAUUUUUCUUCAAGCAAAGCAUUAAAAUUCUAUUGAGACAUCAUAAAUUUUUUCACACUAUUCUCAAAAUAAGAGGGCAUCUUAUUAAAAUUACCAUAAGAAUUAUUGUAGGAAUUUCCAUAAUUAUUAGACGAAUUACUAGGGAACGGUCUAAGAUUAAAGUUUCCUCUAUAAGCAUUGUUUCCAAAACUAUUCCUACCAAAAAAAAUCACAUCCAUAGAUUCAUUAUUAUUCUCAAUGAAAGUACACAAAGUCAUAUCAUUAGGAUCAAAAGGAUCACUCUUAGUAUCAAAUAAUUUCAUAAGUUCAUCCAUCUUUCCACUCAAAACAUUGAUUUCUUCUAUAGCAUGCACUUUUUUACUAGAAGAUAUUUUGGUGUGCCAUUGAGAAUAAUUAGCCAUAAUAUUAUCAAGAAGUUUUGUAGCAUCUCCUAAAGCGAUUUACAUAAACGUGCCUCCCGCGGCCAAAUCUAAAAUAUUUCUAGAAGCAAUGUUCAAACCGGCAUAAUUUUUUUGUAUGAUCAUCGAUAAAUUGAAACCAUGAGUAGGGCAAUUGUGAAUCAUCAAGUUCAUUCUUUCCCAAGAUUGGGCAACAUGCUCAUGAUCAAGUUGUUUCAAAUUCAUAAUAUCGUUCCUAAGAGUGAUAAUCUUAGCGGCGGGAAAAUACUUAGAGAUAAAAGCAUCUUUGCACUUGUUCCAAGAAUCAAUACUAUUUUUAGGCAAAGACGAAAACUAAACUUUAGCACGAUCUCUAAGUGAAAACGGAAAUAAUUUCAAUUUAACAAUAUCAUUAUCCGUAUCUUUCUUCUUUUCCAUAUCACACAAAUCAACAAAGUUGUUUAGCUGAGUAGCGGCAUCUUCACUAGGAAGGCCGGCGAAUUGAUCUUUCAUAACAAGAUUCAGCAAAGCAUUAUUGAUUUCACAAGACUCAACAUCAUUAAGAGGAGCAAUCGAAGUACUAAGGAAAUCAUUAUUAUUGGUAUUGGAGAAAUCACACAAUUUGGUAUUAUCUUGCGCCAUGGCAACAAGUAAUCCAACACACAAGCAAACAGAAAAAGGGCGAGCGAAAAAGAGAGGAGAUUAGGAAAGAGAGGGCGAAUGAAACGGCAAGGGUGAAGUGGGGGAGAGGAAAACGAGAGGCAAAUGGCAAAUAAUGUAAAUGCGAGGGUGAUGAGUUUGUGAUGGGUACUUGGUAUGUCUUGACUUGAGCGAAGACCUCCCCGGCAACACCGCCAGAAAUCCUUCUUGCUACGUCUUGAGCUUGCGUUGGUUUUCCUUGAAGAGGAAAGGGUGAUGCAGCAAUAGUAGCGUAAGUAUUUCCCUCGGUUUUUGAGAACCAAGGUAUCAAUCCAGUAGGAGGCUCCUCAAAAGUCCCACGCACCUACACAAACAAACAAAGAACUCGCAACCAACGCAAUAAAGGGGUUGUCAAUCCCUUCACGGCCACUUGCGAAAGUGAGUUCUGAUAGAGAUAGUAUGAUAAGAUAAAUAUAUUUUUGGUAUUUUAUGAUAUAGAUUGGAAAAGUAAAGAUGCAAAUAAAAGUAGAUUGAAAGCUUAUAUGAUAAAAGAUAGACCCGGGGGCCAUAGGUUUCACUAGUGGCAUCUCUCAAGAUAGCAUAAGUAUUACGGUGGGUGAACAAAUUACUGUCGAGCAAUUGAUAGAAAAGCGAAUAAUUAUGAGAUUAUCUAGGAAUGAUCAUGUAUAUAGGCAACAAGUCUGUGACAAGUAGACCGACUCCUGCCUGCAUCUACUACUAUUACUCCACACAUCGACCGCUAUCCAACAUGCAUCUAGAGUAUUAAGUUCAUAAGAACAGAGUAACGCAUUAAGAAAGAUGACAUGAUGUAGAGGGAUAAACUCAAGCAAUAUGAUAUAAACCCCAUCUUUUUAUCCUCGAUGGCAACAAUACAAUACGUGCCUUGCAACCCCUGCUGUCACUGGGUAAGGACACCGCAAGAUUGAACCCAAAGCUAAGCACUUCUCCCAUGGCAAGAAAGACCAGUGUAGUAGGCCAAACCAAACUGAUAAUUCCAAGAGACUUGCAAAGAUAACUCAAUCAUACAUAAAAGAAUUCAAAGGAGAUUCAAAUAUUUCUCAUAGAUAAACUUGAUCAUAAACCCACAAUUCAUCGGAUCUCGACAAACACACCGCAAAAAGAGUUACAUCGAAUAGAUCUCCACAAGAGAGGGGGAGAACAUGGUAUUGAGAUCUAAAAAGAGAGAAGAAGCCAUCUAGCUAAUAACUAUGGACCCGAAGGUCUAUGGUAAACUACUCACAACUCAUCGGAGGGGCUAUGGUGUUGAUGUAGAAGCCCUCCGUGGUCGAUUCCCCCUCCGACGGAGCGCCGACGAAGGCUCCAAGAUGGGAUAUCAUGGAUACAGAAGGUUACGACGGUGGAAAUUGCUUUUUCGUUGGCUCCCUGGAUGAUUUCGGGUACGUGGGUAUAUAUAGGAGGAAGAAGUAGGUCGGUGGCCGCCCGAGGGGCCCACGAGACAGGGGGCGUGCCUUGUAGGGGUGGGCGCGCCCUCCUAUCUCGUGGCUGCCUCGGCUGCUUCUUGGCUUGCACUCCAAGUCCUCUGGAUCAUGUUCGUUCCAAAAAUCACGCUCCCAAAGGUUUCAUUCCGUUUGGACUCCGUUUGAUAUUCCUUUUCUUCGAAAUACUGAAAUAGGCAAAAAAACAGCAAUACGGGCUGGGCCUCCGGUUAGUAGGUUAGUCCCAAAAAUGAUAUAAAUGUGUAAAAUAAAGCCCAUAAACAUCCAAAAGGGGUAAUAUAAUAGCAUAGAACAAUCAAACAUUAUAGAUACGUUGGAGACGUAUCAGGUAGCAUUCCACAUCAAAAAUUCUGUUUUUAUCAUUUACCUACUCGAGGACGAGCAGGAAUUAAGCUUGGGGAUGCUUGAUACAUCUCCAAUGUAUCUAUAAUUUUUGAUUGUUCCAUGCUAUUAUAUUAUCUAUCUUGGAUGUUUUAUAUGCAUUUAUAUGCUAUUUUUUAUGAUUUUUGGGACUAACCUAUUAACCUAGAGCCCAGUGCCAGUUUCUGUUUUUUUCCUUCUUUUUGAGUUUUACAGAAAAGGAAUAUCAAACGGGGUCCAAACGAGCUGAAAAUUGCCGAUGAUUUGUUAUGGACCAGAAGAAGCCCCUUAAGCAAAAGAGUUGGGCCAGAAGAGUCCCGAGCCAACCACAUGGGUGGAGGGCACGCCCCCUACCUUAUGGCUGACUCAGAGACCCCCCCUGACAUGAAGCCGAUGCCAAAAAUUCCUAUAAAUAUAGAAACCCCCAAAAAGAAACCUAGAUUGGGAGUUCCGCCGCUGCAAGCCUAUGUAGCCACCAAAAACCAAUCGCGCCCCUAUUCCGGCACCCUUCCGUAGGGGGAAAUCAUCACCGGUGGCCAUCUUCAUCAUCCCUAUGCUCUCCAUGAUGAGGAGGGAGUAGUUCACCCUCGGGGUUGAGGGUAUGUACCAGUAGCUAUGUGUUUGAUCUCUCUCUCUCUCUCUCUCUCUCUCUCUCGUGUUCUUGAUUCGGCAUCAUCUUGAUGUACCGCGAGCUUUGCUAUUAUAGUGGGAUCUUACGAUGCUUCUCCCGCUCUACCUUCUUAUAAUGGAUUGAGUUUUCCCUUUGAAGUUAUCUUAUCGAAUUGAGUCUUUAAGGAUUUGAGAACACUUGAUGUAUGUCUUGCAUGUGCAUAUCUGUGGCGACAAUGGGAUAUUCACGUGAUUCACUUGAUGUAUGUUUUGGUGACCAACUUGCGGGUUCUAUGACCUUGUGAAUUUAUGCAUAGGGGUUGGCACACGUUUUCAUCUUGACUCUUUGGUAGAAACUUUGGGGCAGUCUUUGAAGUUCUUUGUGUUGGUUUGAAUAGAUGAAUCUGAGAUUGUGUGAUGUAUAUCGUAUAAUCAUACCCGCAGAUACUUGUGGUGACAUUGGAUGUAACAUCCCAAAUUUUCAAUUUGGAAUGUUAUACAUAGAUCAUCAUUGCAUAUCAUAAUUUUGUUGCAUUGUUGGCUCGAUCCUAGAAAUUCCAUGCAACUCAAGGACCCACGGAGAGAGUUGGGGAUUUCGUUAUUUUCUUAUUUGAGUUUUUCUCAAAUUUUUAAAAUAGGAUCAUUUGAUUUUAUUUAUUUUAUCUUCAAUUAAUUCUACUACCAAAAAUUCAGAGAGGGAAUAAAAUGACUUUCCCAAAAUAAAGAAAUAAUGAAGAUUUAAUAAAAAAAUCAAAUAAGAUUUAUUUUGGAGUUUUUCGCCUUUUAUUUGAAUUUAGGAAAAAUGCGCGUUUUUCAAAAAUGCAUCUAGGCCCCAAAUAAAUGUUCACCUUGUCCGGCUUGAUUUUAGAAGCCGGGGAAAAUUUAUUUCGGGAUUUUUGGAGUCACUUUAGUAUUUCUUUCUUUUUUUUCUUCUGUGCGGAAUUAUUAAAGAAAAAACGCAACCGACCUACGGGCCGUGUCCGUCUAGGACUCCCGGCCCGNNNNNNNNNNNNNNNNNNNNNNNNNNNNNNNNNNNNNNNNNNNNNNNNNNNNNNNNNNNNNNNNNNNNNNNNNNNNNNNNNNNNNNNNNNNNNNNNNNNNNNNNNNNNNNNNNNNNNNNNNNNNNNNNNNNNNNNNNNNNNNNNNNNNNNNNNNNNNNNNNNNNNNNNNNNNNNNNNNNNNNNNNNNNNNNNNNNNNNNNNNNNNNNNNNNNNNNNNNNNNNNNNNNNNNNNNNNNNNNNNNNNNNNNNNNNNNNNNNNNNNNNNNNNNNNNNNNNNNNNNNNNNNNNNNNNNNNNNNNNNNNNNNNNNNNNNNNNNNNNNNNNNNNNNNNNNNNNNNNNNNNNNNNNNNNNNNNNNNNNNNNNNNNNNNNNNNNNNNNNNNNNNNNNNNNNNNNNNNNNNNNNNNNNNNNNNNNNNNNNNNNNNNNNNNNNNNNNNNNNNNNNNNNNNNNNNNNNNNNNNNNNNNNNNNNNNNNNNNNNNNNNNNNNNNNNNNNNNNNNNNNNNNNNNNNNNNNNNNNNNNNNNNNNNNNNNNNNNNACCUUGCCGGAUCCCGCUGACCCCGCCGCCCGCACGCUCGCCGAGGUUUGCCGCCGCCUCGACUUUCGUGCCGGUUUUCCUUAGAAAACCGAUCGGUUUUCCCUCGGUUUAAUUUUUUCGUUUUUUUUUAGUUUCGGUUUUUUUAAUUAUUAGAUCGGUUUUUAUUUUUCGGUUUAGUUUAAUUAGCGAGCGUUCGCUCGUUCGUUCGUUUUAACGAACGUAUUCGUCAGAUUAGUUUAGUUAAUGAACGUUCGUUCGUUAACCCAUUCGUCGUUUUUCUUUUUCUCGGAUUUAAUCCGCGAUUUUUCUGAUCGCGAUUCCCGAUCCGAUUUUCGUUUUAGUUUAACUUUUCGCUCGUUUAUCGGAAUCAGGUGAUUCAAGCGCCUGGAGUUUCGUCCCGAAACCCUCUUUCCGAAUAAUCAACUUAAACAAGUUUUUGCUUCUGUAAAAUUUGAGUUAGAUCCAGAUUAGUAGAACGAAGCUGUUUUCUUUCACCGUUUGACUUUCGUUGCUUUGUUCGAUUUGAAUCUUUUUGCAAACUGGAGUUUUUAAGUUGAACAUUCUGGUUAGAUCGUUUAUUCGAGUUUUACCUGUGCAUUAGAUGAGUACUUAUUUAAUGCUUGUUGUUUGUCUGGGAUAGAAUACCCGGAGUGCGCUGCCUGUUACUUCGAGUCUCUAGGUUUCGUGGAUCAUCAGCAAGGCAAGUAACACUUUGAUCAUACCUUUUCUACUACCCAGUUGUUAUGCAUUAGAUCAAUCCUCAAACAUUGCAUGAUUAGGAUCUAAUUAAAUUGUGGGAUGGGAAGUAGUUGAGGUAGUACCUAUUACCUGUUUUAUUAUCAAACCUUUGGGAGUUACUUCUACGUUUGCUUAUUAUGCCAUGCUAUGCUAGUAGACGUGGAUUGGGUGAGUGUAUCCAUGAUAGAUGUGAGAUUGUUAAUCAAUGGUUUAUUUAAGGUGGCAACUUAAACACACAUCUGGGUGGAUUGAGGCACCUGGUUUCUAUCAGGACUUGCCUGUAUUUCUUCGGACCGCCACCCAGGCUCAAAGGGAUCAUGAGACUAUUCAAACUAGAAACUUACGUGUGCAGCCACCAGUCAUUAUGGGCUCUGGCAUAGUUGACUAAGUUGUGCAAACUCUUACGGGUAGACUAGCAGAUGUAGGGGAAAGUAGGUGUACCGGUCUACCCACAUGUAAGGUGCUAGUGCUUCCAAAAGACUAUGUCUCGGUCAUCCGUUUCUCAAACACCAUGUAGUGCGAGGAAUCAAACGGAGGCGAUUGAGUCUUGUGGGGAAACGUGCACAAACCUCUGCAGAGUGUAUAAACUAAUCAUGAUUAGCCAUGUCCCCGGUUAUGGACAUCUUGAGUAUCUAGAACUUGGAUAUCACGUGAAUCUCAUCAUGUUACUUCUAAUUAAUAUUGUUGGGUUUUUAGUGAGUACUUUUAGUUGGGAUUGAGAAUGCUGUCAACCAUUCUCAAUGUUUAACAACCACCAUGAUAGUUAAAUAAAUUUAUUCAAAAUUGGCUUUAUGCAAAACUGUAACCAUAGAGCUUUUCCACCAGCCAAAUAUGCAUGUAGUAUAGCUUAAUCCAUUGUUAUCCUCUAUGUGUUACAUUGCCAGCAUAUUCCAUCUGCUGACCCAUUUUCGGGCUGCAACGUUUCAUGUUGCAGACUUUUCAGACGACAAGUAAGAUGAUUUUAGGUGGUGGUUCUAUACUCAGUGAUGCCGUUGGAGUUGAUGGACUCACUUAUCUUCCAAGACUUCCACUGUUAUCGUUUUUAGAUGGCCUUAAGCCAUAUUUAUUUCAAUAAGUUCUCUUUUAAGGCAUUCGAUGUAAUAAGUGUGUGAUUGCUACUCUGUUAUAAAUCCUCCAAGUACUGUGUGGUGUCAGCAUUACUGAUCCAGGGAUGACACUGAGCACAGAGAUCAGACUGUUUGAGGUCUGGUCGCUACAUGCUGGUAUCAGAGCACACACUGACUGUAGGACACGACCACUAAGCUUAAACCCUAGAUCACUACUCUUUCUUCUCAUUUCUGACUCCUCAUCUUUUCUAUUCUUUAGGAUGGCGGAUGCAAGGAUCAAGUUCACACAACCAGAUGAGAACUCACCUUUUGGAUAUCACUUGAAGGAAGCCACUAGAUACCUGAACAUAGGAGUGCCAAGUUUCACCGGGACUUUCAAUGCCACUUUACCCGAAGAGGAGCGUUGGAGGAUUCAAGUCUACAUUCUAGGAAGGACAUUUGCACCAGCCACUGAGCCAAUAGAGUUUACCUUUGAUGUACCAGCAUGGAGCCUAGGAAAGAGUAUGUCAGCUCACAUCGCCAUGGGACGAAUUGGAGAAGUUUACCACAACAAUCUCAAGAAUACUAUCUACCAGAUUUGUGGGCGCCGAGAUGAGCAUUGGGAGAUGAUCACCACCAGGAAGGACAGAUCAAUCGCAGCUUAUAUUCAGGAGUUAAACCAACACAUCCGACGCCAGGAAAAUCAGAUGUGCGCAGAUAUGGAGGAUCUGCAGAAGGCUAUGACCAAGAUCAAGGAGCUAGAAGAAGAACUCAAGGCUACACGCAAAGAUUAUAUGGAAGAAAUCAUCGCUCUAGUAAGACAGAACGGUGACCUUAAGGAAAAGAUUGGAGUAUUCAUGGGAGGAUCAGCACCUAGAGGAUAAGAGGAUGAACCUACUUGUCCAGAUAACUAUAUCAUCAUCGACGACACAGACUCGGAUGCCGACGACAGCGAUGAUGACUAUGUUGAUGAAGCUGGAGCAGAUAUCAUGGAAUCUGCAUAGGAGCAGUUUUUCUAGUUGACCACCAUAACAGUAGUAGCAUUUUUCCACCAUUUAUUUAGUUUUAGACCAAGCACUUUGUAACGAUAGUUAGACCGUUGUAUGCCUUGUUUGAAUUGAUUGGAGUGAUAUUGUGUGAAUUGUCUCAUGUGCAUAUGGGUAGUGUUUUCUCACUAGACCUCGUUCUAUUCUAAACUCUCAUCUCCCCUUUAAACCCUCAGAUGCCUCUGAGACGUGACCCCGAGUUUGUUUUCCCGCCAGAGAUCACUCAGUUGAUUCAGCAGCAGAACACCUUGAUUCAAACAUUGGUACAAAAUCAAGGCAACAACAACAACAACAACCCACCACCACCACCACCUGUUGACCAUCUGGCAUGUUUCUUAAGGUUGAAUCCGCUAGUGUUUUCCAGUAGCACCGAGCCGAUAGUAGCAGAUGAUUGGCUCCGUAAGAUAGGGAGGGAGUUGACCACAUCAGGAUGCAUAGAUGGAGAAAAGGUGAAGUUUGCCGCACAUCAGCUUGACGGACCCGCAACAGCAUGGUGGGAGAAUUUCACAGCCACUUACCCUGUAGACACUAUCACAUGGAAUCAGUUUCAGCAAGCUUUUUGUACUGCCCAUGUUUCAGCAGGAGCUAUGGCCAUGAAGAAGCGUGAGUUUCGAAACUUACGCCAAGGAGGACGAACAGUUGGCCACUAUGUGGAUGAUUUCAGUAAGCUAGCACGUUAUGCCCCAGAUGACGUUGCUACGGAUGCAGCUAAGCAGGAGAAGUUUCUAGAAGGGCUGAAUGAUGAGAUGAGCAUGCAGUUGAUGGUAGCCACUUUCAAUAACUACCAGGAGUUAGUAGAUCAUGCUCUUAUGAUUGAGGGGAAGCAGCAGCAGAUUGAUAAUCGUAAGAGGAAGUAUGGACAGGGGAAGUACAAUUCUGGAGCUCAGCAGAAACUACGCUUUACCCCAAAGUCAGGAGGACAUUUUCAGCAUACUCAUGGAGGAGGCAGCUUGCACAAUCAUAAUGGCACAAAGAAUGGAAACGGGAAUGGAGGAAGCAAUGGAAAAAGCCGCACCAACCCGUCAACACCACCCAAGGCAGACCUGAGCCAUAUCACUUGUUAUAAGUGCCGUAAUACUGGGCAUUAUGCAAAUGAUUGCCCAGAAGCCCAAAAUGGAAAUGGCAAUGGAAGCUCAGGAAAGAAGCCAAACCCUUUCAACAGGGGGCAAGUGAACCACGUUACCGUGGAGGAGGUUGAAGCUCAGCCAGACGCAAUAAUAUGUAAGUUUUUGGUUAAGGCAUUUACUGCAGUUGUUCUUUUUGAUACUGGUGCAUCACAUUCAUACAUAUCAAGGGGAUUUGUGGAUAAGUUUAGCCUGCCCACUAAGACGCUUAAGACACCUAUGCUAGUGAGUUCACUGGCAGCUGAGUUUAUGGUCAGUCAAGGAUGCUUUCAGGUGCCAUUAAGUAUAGGAAGGCAUGUUUUCCCAACGGAUUUAAUUAUAUUGGAAUCCCAAGGUUUGGAUGUAAUUCUUGGCAUGGAUUGGCUGUCGAUGUAUGGAGGAAACAUUGAUUGCGCCAGCAGGACAAUUUUGCUUAUGACACCAGAAGGAAUAAGAAUCAAGUAUGUAUCACGACAUGAGCCGAGGAGAGCACAUGUAAAUUCCUUAUCAGGAGUUGUGCAGGAGGAAGUACCAGUGGUAAAGGAUUUCCCCAAUGUAUUUCCAGAAGAGUUGCCAGGCAUGCCACCGGAUAGAGACAUUGAGUUCUUAAUUGAACUACUGCCAGGCACGGGGCCGAUAUCCAAGAGACCGUACAGGAUGCCAGCCCAAGAUUUGGAGGAAAUUAAAAAGCAGAUUAAGGAGCUGUUGGACAAAGGUUUUAUUCGCCCAAGUUCUUCGCCUUGGGGAUCGCCAGUACUUCUGGUGGAGAAGAAGGAUGGAUCGUUAAGAAUGGUUGUUGAUUAUCGCGGAUUGAAUGAAGUAACAAUCAAGAACAAGUACCCACUACCAAUGAUCAAUGAUCUGUUUGAUCGGUUGCAAGGAGCUAAGGUGUUUUCCAAGAUCGAUUUGCGAUCAGGAUACCAUCAGUUGAAGAUUCGGGAGCAGGAUAUACCGAAGACGGCUUUUACCACCAGGUACGGGCUGUAUGAGUAUACCAUUAUGUCAUUUGGUUUGACUAACGCCCCAGCCUAUUUUAUGAACAUGAUGAACAAGGUGUUUAUGGAGUUUUUGGAUAAGUUCGUCGUGGUGUUCAUUGAUGAUAUUUUGGUGUACUCGAAGAAUGAAGAGGAACAUAAGGAACACUUGCGUAUGGUACUCGAGAAGCUCAGAGAACAUCAGCUAUACGCCAAGUUCAGCAAGUGUGAGUUUUGGCUGGAGGAAGUUGGAUUUCUCAGACAUGUUAUAUCCGGAGAAGGUAUCGCAGUAGACCCCACUAAAGUUGUCACUGUGACAAAUUGGGAAGCACCAACAACAGUUGGAGAAAUCUGGAGUUUCCUUGGACUCACAGGAUACUACCGGAGAUUCAUUGAAAAUUUCUCGAAGAUUGCGAAGCCUACGACAGAGUUGUUGAAGAAGGAUACUAAGUUCAUUUGGACUAAGGAGUGUGAGGCUAGUUUCCAGGAAUUGAAGAAACGUUUGGUUACCUCACCAGUAUUAAUUCUGCCAGAUCAGACUAAGGAUUAUGAAGUGUAUUGCGACGCUUCACGUCGAGGACUUGGAGCAGUGCUUAUGCAGGAGGGAAGAGUUGUUUCAUAUGCUUCACGACAGCUUAAGCCUCAUGAGUUGAAUUAUGCUACUCAUGAUUUGGAGUUAGCAGCCGUAGUGCACGCACUGAAAACAUGGAGACAUUUUCUCAUAGGAAAUCAUUGUAAGGUGUACACGGAUCACAAGAGUUUGAAGUACAUCUUCACGCAGAAGGAGUUAAAUCUCAGGCAGAGGAGAUGGUUGGAACUUAUUAAGGAUUAUGAUAUGAGAUUGCAUUAUCACCCCGGGAAGGCUAACAUUGUAGCAGACGCGUUGAGCCGUAAGAGCCACGUCAAUACACUAAUGACGGGAGAAAUACCCAAGGAGUUAGCCGAGGAUCUUCAUGAACUAUGUUUGGAGAUAGUUCCGAGGGGCUAUGUAGCAGCAAUGGAGAUUCAUUCUAUGUUGAUGGAUAAAAUCAGAGAAGCUCAAAAGAUAGAUAAGCAAGUUGCUUCCAUUAAGGAGAAAAUGAGCGAAGGGAAGGCUAAGGGAUUUCGUGAGGAUGAGUACAAUACCCUACGAUUUGAGGACCGUGUUUAUGUGCCCAAUGACCCGGAAAUCAGGAAGUUGAUUCUGCAAGAGGCACAUGAUUCACCAUAUUCGAUUCACCCUGGAAAUAACAAGAUGUAUUUGGAUUUGAAGGAAACUUUCUGGUGGACCGGAAUGAAGAAGGAUAUUGCAGAGUAUGUAGCAGUUUGUGAUGUAUGUCAGAGGGUGAAAGCAGAACACUAGAAGCCAGCCGGAUUGUUGCAGCCAUUGCCUAUACUCGAAUGGAAGUGGGACAAACUAGGCAUGGAUUUCAUCACGGGAUUGCCCAUGACUCAUUCAGGCUAUGACUCAAUUUGGGUUGUAGUCGAUCGUUUGACAAAGGUAGCUCAUUUCAUCCCAGUAAAGACUACCUACAGCAAUGCCAAAUUGGCUAAGAUAUACAUGGCAAGGAUUGUAUGUUUGCAUGGAGUUCCGAGGAGUAUCGUAUCAGAUAGAGGAACCCAAUUCACCUCAAAGUUCUAGAAACAGUUGCACGAAACAUUGGGAACCAGGCUGGAGUUUAGCACAGCUUUCCACCCACAGACAGAUGGACAGACCGAGAGAGUCAAUCAAAUUUUGGAGGAUAUGCUUAGAGCUUGUGUUUUGGAUUAUGGAUCAAGUUGGGAUGACAACUUGCCAUACGCGGAGUUUUCUUACAACAACAGUUAUCAGUCCAGUUUGAAGAUGGCCCCUUUCGAAGCCUUAUACGAAAGGAGGUGCAGAACCCCGUGGUUGUGGGAUGAGGUUGGAGACCGCCAGUUGUUUGGACCAGAUUUGAUUAAGGAGUCUGAACAGAAGGUAAAGUUGAUUCACGACAGGCUCAAGGUAGCUCAGUCAAGGCAGAAGAGCUAUGCAGAUUCAAAACGCAAGGAGACCGAAUACGAAGUCGGAGACAGAGUUUAUCUUUGGGUAUCUCCACUUCGAGGAGUUAAGCGUUUUUGAGUUAAAGGGAAGUUAGCGCCACGUUUUGUGGGACCAUACAAAGUUUUGGAACGCAUGGGAGAAGUAGCGUACAAGUUGGAAUUACCUGAGGGAUAGUCAGGAGUUCACGAUGUGUUCCAUGUUUCACAGUUGAAGAAAUGUCACGCAGAGAUGGCUAAUAUACCACUGAGAGAUACAGUGCCUCUGGAAGCGAUUCAGUUGAAAGAUGAUUUGACUUAUGAAGAGAAACCAGUUAAGAUUCUGGAAUAUGCCAGCCAAGUUACCCGCAGUAAGGUUAUCAAGUUUUGCAAGGUUCAGUGGAGCCACCACACCGAGGAGGAAGCCACCUGGGAGCGAGAGGAAGAUCUGCUCAAGGACCAUCCUCACCUAUUUGCUAGCCAACCCGAAUCUCGAGGGCGAGAUUCAUCUUAAGGGGGGUAGGUUUGUAACAUCCCAAAUUUUCAAUUUGGAAUGUUAUACAUAGAUCAUCAUUGCAUAUCAUAAUUUUGUUGCAUUGUUGGCUCGAUCCUAGAAAUUCCACACAACUCAAGGACCUACGGAGAGAGUUGGGGAUUUCGUUAUUUUCUUAUUUGAGUUUUCUCAAAUUUUGAAAAUAGGAUCAUUUGAUUUUAUUUAUUUUAUCUUCAAUUAUUUCUACUACCAAAAAUUCAGAGAGGGAAUAAAAUGACUUUCCCAAAAUAAAGAAAUAAUGAAGAUUUAAUAAAAAAAUCAAAUAAGAUUUAUUUUGGAGUUUUUCGCCUUUUAUUUGAAUUUAGGAAAAAUGCGCGUUUUUCAAAAAUGCAUUUAGGCCCCAAAUAAAUGUUCAUCUUGUCCGGCUUGAUUUUAGAAGCCGGGGAAAAUUUAUUUCGGGAUUUUUGGAGUCCAUUUAGUAUUUCUUUAUUUUUUCUUCUGCGCGGAACUAUUUUAAAGAAAACGCAACCGACCUACGGGCCGUGUCCAUCUAGGACUCCCGGCCCGCGGGGCUUUAUAAGCCGGGGGGGGGAAGCCAGCCNNNNNNNNNNNNNNNNNNNNNNNNNNNNNNNNNNNNNNNNNNNNNNNNNNNNNNNNNNNNNNNNNNNNNNNNNNNNNNNNNNNNNNNNNNNNNNNNNNNNNNNNNNNNNNNNNNNNNNNNNNNNNNNNNNNNNNNNNNNNNNNNNNNNNNNNNNNNNNNNNNNNNNNNNNNNNNNNNNNNNNNNNNNNNNNNNNNNNNNNNNNNNNNNNNNNNNNNNNNNNNNNNNNNNNNNNNNNNNNNNNNNNNNNNNNNNNNNNNNNNNNNNNNNNNNNNNNNNNNNNNNNNNNNNNNNNNNNNNNNNNNNNNNNNNNNNNNNNNNNNNNNNNNNNNNNNNNNNNNNNNNNNNNNNNNNNNNNNNNNNNNNNNNNNNNNNNNNNNNNNNNNNNNNNNNNNNNNNNNNNNNNNNNNNNNNNNNNNNNNNNNCCUCGCCGGACCCCGCCGACCCCGCCGCCCGCACGCUCGCCGAGGUUCGCCGCCGCCUCGACUUCCGUGCCAGUUUUUCUUAGAAAACCGAUCGGUUUUCCGUUGGUUUAAUUUUUUCGGUUUUUUUUAGUUUCGGUUUUUUUAUUAGAUCGGGUUUUAUUUUUCGAUUUAGUUUAAUUAGCGAGCGCUCGCCCGUUCGUUCGUUUUAAUGAACGUAUUCAUCAGAUUAGUAUAGUUAAUGAACGUUCAUUCGUUAACCCGUUCGUCGUUUUUCUUUUUGUCGGAUUUAAUCCGCGAUUUUUCUGAUCGCGAUUCCCGAUCCGAUUUUCAUUUUAGUUUAACUUUUCGCUCGUUUAUCGGAAUCAGGCGAUUCAAGCGCCUGGAGUUUCGUCCCGAAACCCUCUUUCCGAAUAAUCAACUUAAACAAGUUUUUGCUUCUGUAAAAUUUGAUUUAGAUCCAGGUUAGUAGAACGAAGCUGUUUCCUUUCGCUGUUUGACUUUCGUUGCUUUGUUCGAUUUGAAUCUUUUUGCAAACCAGAGUUCUCAAGUUGAACAUUCUGGUUAGAUCGUUUAUUUGAGUUUUAUCUGUGCAUUAGAUGAGUACUUAUUGUAUGCUUGUUGUUUGUCUGUGAUAGAAUACCCGGAGUGCGCCGCCUGUUACUUCGAGUCUCUAGGUUUCCCGGAUCAUCAGCAAGGCAAGUAACACUUUGAUCAUACCUUUUCUACUACCCAGUUUUUAUGCAUUAGAUCAAUCCUCAAACAUUGCAUGAUUAGGAUCUAAUUAAAUUGUGGGAUGGGAAGUAGUUGAGGUAGUACCUAUUACUUGUUUUAUUAUCAAACCUUUGGGAGUUACUUCUACGUUUGCUUAUUAUGCCAUGCUAUGCUAGUAGACGUGGAUUGGGUGAGUGUAUCCAUGACAGAUGUGAGAUUGUUAAUCAAUGGUUUAUUUAAUGUGGCAACUUAAACACACAUCUGGGUGGAUUGAGGCACCUGGUUUCUAUCAGGACUUGCCUGUAUUUCUUCGGACCGCCACCCAGGCUCAAAGGGAUCAUGAGACUAUUCAAACUAGAAACUUACGUGUGCAGCCACAAGCCAUUAUGGGCUCUUGCACAGUUGACUAAGUUAUGCGAACUCUUACGGGUAGACUAGCAGAUGUAGGGGAAAGUAGGUGUACCGGUCUACCCACAUGUAAGGUGCUAGUGCUUCCGAAAGACUAUGUCUCGGUCAUCCAUUUCUCAAACACCAUGUAAUGCGAGGAAUCAAACGGAGGCGAUCGAGUCUUGUGGGGAAAAGUGCGCAAACCUCUGCAGAGUGUAUAAACUAAUCAUGAUUAGCCGUGUCCCCGGUUAUGGACAUCUUGAGUAUCUAGAACUUGGAUAUCAUGGGAAUCUCAUCAUGUUACUUCUAAUUAAUAUUGUUGGGUUUUUAAUGAGUACUUUUAAUUGGGAUUGAGGAUGCUGUCAACCAUUCUCAAUGUUUAACAACCACCAUGAUAGUUAAAUAAAUUUAUUCCUUUGUAGUAGGGAAAAGUUGGCUUUAUGCAAAACUGUAACCAUAGAGAUUUUCCACCAGCCAAAUAUGCAUGUAGUAUAGCUUAAUCCAUUGUUAUCCUCUGUGUGUUACAUUGCCAGCAUAUUCCAUCUGCUGACCCGUUUUCGGGCUGCAACGUUUCAUGUUGCAGACUUUUCAGACGACGAGUAAGAUGCUUUUAGGUGGUGGUUCUAUACUCAGUGAUGCCGUUGGAGUUGAUGGACUCGCUUAUCUUCCAAGACUUCCGUUGUUAUCAUUUUUAGAUGGCCUUAAGCCAUAUUUAUUUCAAUAAGUUCUCUUUUGAGGCAUUCGAUGUAAUAAGUGUGUGAUUGCUACUCUGUUAUAAAUCCUCCAAGUACUGUGUGGUGUCAGCAUUACUGAUCCAGGGAUGACACUGAGCACAGAGAUCAGACUGUUUGAGGUCUGGUUGCUAUAUUGGAGUAUCUAGGUGACAUUAGGAUUUUGGUUGAUGUGUGUCUUAUGGUGAUAUUUUACUACGAACUCUAGGGCUCUUUCUGACACUUAUAGGAAUAGCCCAAUGGAUUGAUCGGAAAGAAUAACUUUGAGGUGGUUUCGUACCCUACAAUAAUCUCUUCGUUCGUUCUCUGCCAUUAGUGACUUUGUAGUGACCUUGGUUGCAUGUUGAGGGAUUGUUAUAUGAUCCAAUUAUGUUAUCAUUGUUGAGAGAACUUGCACUAGUGAAACUAUGAACCCUAGGCCUUGUUUCGAAGCAUUGCAAUACCAUUAUCGCUCACUUUUAUCGCUUGCUAGGUAGCAGUUUUUAUAUUUUCAGAUCACAAAAACCUAUAUCUACCAUCCGUAUUGCACUUGUAUCACCAUCUCUUCGCCGAACUAGUGCACCUAUACAAUUUACCAUUGCAUUGGGUGUGUUGGGGACACAAGAGACUCUUUGUUAUUUGGUUGCAAGGUUGUUUGAGAGAGACCAUCUUCAUCCUACGCCUCCCAUGGAUUGAUAAACCUUAGGUCAUCCACUUGAGGGAAAUUUGCUACUGUCCUACAAACCUCUGCACUUGGAGGCCCAACAACGUCUACAAGAAGAAGGUUGCGUAGUAGACAUCAUUACUAGAGUCAAUAAUCUAGUUCACAUUGCCAUGUGAUUAACACCCAAAGAGUACUGAGGUGUGUUCAUGUUUUGCUUGUGAGAGAAGUUUAGUUAACAGGCCUGCCACAUUUAGAUCCAUAUGUAUUUGCAAAUUUCUAUGUCUACAAUGCUCUGUAUGGUGCUACUCUAGCUAAUUGCUCCCACUUUCAAUAUGUAUCCAGACUGAGACUCAGAGUCAUCUAGAUUAGUGCUUCAAGCUUGCAUCAUCGUUACCCUUUACGAUGAACCCUUUAUCACCUCCAUAACCGACAAUCAUUUCCUUAGUCCUCUAAGGAUGUUUUUGACCAUUGUCUAGUGAUCUACUCCUGGAUCACUAUUGUACCCCCUUGCCAAACUCAUUGGCAAGGCACACAACAGGUGUAGCGACCCCGAUCCCAAUGGACCGUAGUCUUUGUGCUUAAGUGUCAUCCCUGGAUCGGUAUGCUGACACACACAAUACUCGAGGAAUUACAACUUGAGGAAUCACACAACUUACUCAACUAUGCCAGAGCCCAUAAUGGCUUGUGGCUGCACACGGAAGUUUCUAGGCAUGAAAUAUCAUAUGAUCCCUUUGAGCAUGGGUGGCGAACCGAGGAAAAAUCACACGGGUACUCCGGGAUUUCCCAAUGGGCAAGCACUGGUUUCUCCAAGUGCCCCAACCAAUCCACCCAGAUGUGUAUUAAAGUUGCCACCUUAAUGUUGUCCAUAAAUUAUUAUCUCUCACAACUUACAUGUACAUCACGAUCCAAUCCCCAUCUACGAGUAUGGCUAAGCAAUAUAUGAGCAUAACGUAUAUUCCCGGGGUGAUCAAAGGUAAUAGGUUCCCACCUCAAGUACUACAACCAAACCACAUGUGCCCGUCCUACUCAUGCAAAUAUUUGAGGGGCAAAACUAAUGCAUAGUAAAAACUGGGUAUAGAAGAGUAUGAUCAAAGUGUAACUUGCCUUGCUGACGAUCGGAAAACUCUAGAUAUUCAUAGUAACAAGCUUCACACUCCGAAAAAUCUAGCGUAGACAAACAAUAGCAUACAUAAGCAACCAAGCAAAUGAUGCAACAAGAAAACGAGAAAAGAUCCAAAGAAAACUCGGAACAAGCAAAUAAAUAAACUAAACAGAAAACAAAUCUUAACAGUGCUAUUUUUAUGUGGAUUAGAUCUUAACAGUAGGUACAUGUGAUUAGCUACGAUUUGCAAAAAGAAUCAACUCAAACGGAGCUACGAAACUCAAGAUAGAAACAAAAUAAGAUCAAAUACUAAUCUGAAUUAAACUCAAAUUUUAAAUCAUCAAAAUCAAGUUCAAGUUGGUUUAGUAGAUAGAUGGGAACGAUCUGAAGAUUUAGGCGUUGGUUUCAUCUAAUUUGGAUAAACGAGCUAAAAGUUACGCUAGUUUGAAGAUCAUGGGCUAAUCUGCGAUAAAACUAUUCACAGAAAGGUCCCUGGCCGAAAAUAAACAGAAAAAGAAAAAUCUAUCGGACGAACGUCCGCUAACAGAGACUAACGAACGAAUUCGUUCGUUAACAGAUCUAAACGGGUGAACGUUCGCUAAUUAACGAACUAAAAUAAAUAAAACCGAUGUAAUCUAAAAACCGAAAAAACCCGAGAAAAGUCUGGCGAACCGGAUCAAGUUUUUUUACUGGCUAACAGCUACGAGAAAAACUGACGGCGGCGGCGGCGGCUCCGGCGAGGCGAGUCGAGGUGAUGCCGGCUGCUGCGGGGCUCGCGGGGCGGUAGAAGGCGGCGGCGCNNNNNNNNNNNNNNNNNNNNNNNNNNNNNNNNNNNNNNNNNNNNNNNNNNNNNNNNNNNNNNNNNNNNNNNNNNNNNNNNNNNNNNNNNNNNNNNNNNNNNNNNNNNNNNNNNNNNNNNNNNNNNNNNNNNNNNNNNNNNNNNNNNNNNNNNNNNNNNNNNNNNNNNNNNNNNNNNNNNNNNNNNNNNNNNNNNNNNNNNNNNNNNNNNNNNNNNNNNNNNNNNNNNNNNNNNNNNNNNNNNNNNNNNNNNNNNNNNNNNNNNNNNNNNNNNNNNNNNNNNNNNNNNNNNNNNNNNNNNNNNNNNNNNNNNNNNNNNNNNNNNNNNNNNNNNNNNNNNNNNNNNNNNNNNAGGAGGCAAGCGACGGCGGCGGCGGCACGGACUCCUAGCCGGAGUCCGGCUCGGAUGCGCGGCGACGCGCGGCGAAGGCGGUGGCUCGGUUGGGCCGCGGCCUGGCUUGAGCUGGGCCGGCCCAGUUCGGCGGCGCACGCGUUUUUUUUUAAAACAAUUUUUUUGGAGACUAAAACACUAAAAAAAUAUAAAUAUUGUCCUAAAACUUCCAGAAAAAUUCACGUAGCUAUAUGGCCUUAUUAUUGACCUAGUGAACAUUUUUCUGAGCCUACAUGCCUAAACUAAAAACAAACUUUAUAGUUCUAAUUACUCAGCUAAUUAAUAAAUAAACUAGCAAAUAAAAUCAAAUAAACUCUCAAAAAAUCAAAAUUCAAUUUCCAAUAUAUUUCUACUAAAUUGAAGAAGUCAUUUUAUCUUCUCUCAUUAUUUUUAAAAAAUUUGGAAAAAUAAUUUUGAAAAACAAUUUGUUCCAAAUACCGAAUUUUGAUAAAUCAAAAUUGGAUUUUUUGUGAGACCUCCUACUCUCUCAAAUUGGUCCUUGAGUUGCUUAAGGCCUCUUGGAUCAAAAUGCAACUAAAACUAAACAACAAAAUGAAAUAAAACAUGAAUGCAUAUGAAUGAUCUAUGAAUAACAUCCAAAUUGAAAAUUGGGAUGUUACAAACCUACCACCCUUAAGAUGAAUCUCGCCCUCGAGAUUCGGGUUGGUCAGCAAAGAGGUGUGGGUGGUCCUUGCGGUGGUCUUCUUCCCGCUCCCAGGUAGCUUCCUCCUCGGUAUGGUAGCUCCACUAAAAUUUGCAGAACUUGAUGACUUUGCUGCGAGUAACUCGGCUGGAGAACUCGAGAAUCUUAAUUGGCUUCUCUUCGUAGGUCAGAUCACUAUCCAACUGAAUUGCUUCCAGUGGCACUAUAUCUCUUAGAGGAAUGUCAGCCAUCUCUGUGUGGCACUUCUUCAACUGGGAAACGUGAACCACAUCGUGAACUCCUGACAAUCCUUCGGGUAACUCCAACUUGAAGUCAACUUCUCCAAUACGUUCCAAAAGUCUGUAUGGUCCCACAAAUCGUGGUGCUAGCUUUCCUUUGACUCCACAUCGCUUAACUCCUCGAAAUGGGGACACACAAAGAUAUGCUCUGUCUCUGACUUCCUAGGCUACCUCCUUGUGUUUAGUAUCUGCAUAACUCUUCUGCCUGGACUGGGCUAUCUUGAGUCUAUUUCGAAUCAACUUAACCUUCUCCUCAGAAUCCCUUAUUAAGUCUGUCCCGAACAACUUUCUAUAUCCAACUUCAUCCCAAGAUAAUGGUGUCCUGCACCUCCUUCCGUACAAGGCUUCGAAAGGGGCCAUCUUCAAACUGGCUUGAUAACUGUUGUUAUAGGAGAACUCUACAUAGGUCAAAUUGUUAUCCCAACUAGAUCCAUAAUCUAGCGCACAAGCUCUCAACAUGUCCUCCAGAAUCUGAUUGACUCUCUCGGUCUGUCCAUCUGCCUAUGGAUGAAAUGUUGUACUGAACUCUAGCCUGGUGCCCAAAGUUUUGUGCAACUGAUUCCAAAACUUUGAAGUAAACUACGUUCCUCUAUCUGAUACAAUGGUCCUCGAAACUCCAUGCAGACAUACGAUCCUGGUCAUGUAUAUCUUAGCCAACUUAGCACUCGUAUAAGUUGUCUUCAUGGGGAUGAAAUGGGCUACCUUCAUCAAGCGAUCGACUACAACCCAGAUAGAGUCAUAGCCUGAACAGGUCUUGGGUAAUCCGGUGAUAAAAUCGAUGCCAAGUUUAUCCCACUUCCAUUCGGAUAUUGUCAAAGGUUGAAGUAACCCUGCUGGUUUCUGAUGCUCUGCCUUAACUCUCUGACAUAUGUCCACCAGAAACUUUCCUUCAAAUCCAGAUACAUAUUGGUGUUGCUUGGGUGAAUCGAAUAAGGCGAGUCGCGAUCCUCCUGAAGAAUUAACUUCCUAAUCUCAGGGUCAUUAGGCACGUAGAUACGAUCCUCAAACCAUAAAGUGUUGUGCUCAUCCUCUCAAAAACCUUUAGCUUUUACUUUACUCAUCCUUUCCUUUAUCUCUGCAAUCUCCUUGUCCGUCUCCUGGGCUUCCCUGGUCUUUCCCAACAAAGUGGACUGAAUUUCCAGUGCUGCAACAUAACCUCUCAGAACUAUCUCCAAGCGCAGUUCUUGGAGAUCAUCGGCUAACUCCUGAGGUAAUCCUCCGGUUAUGAGCGUGUUAACAUAACUCUUGCGGCUCAACGUAUCUACUACGACAUUGGCCUUUCCUGGAUGAUAAUGCAAUAUCAUAUGAUAAUCCUUUAUGAGAUCCAAUCAUCUCCUUUUCCUGAGAUUCAACUCCUUCUGCAUGAAGAUGUACUUCAAACUCUUAUGAUCCGUGUAAACAUCACAACGGUUUCCGAUGAGAAAGUGUCUCCAUAUAUUGAGCGCAUGCACUAUGGAUGCUAACUCCAAACCAUGAAUAGCAUAAUUCAACUCGUGAGGUCGAAGCUAUCGUGAGGCAUAUGAAACAACUCUGCCGUCCUGCGGAUAAGCACACCUCCAAGUCCUCGACGUGAAGCGUCGCAAUAUACUUGGAAAUCCUUGCGUAUGUCUGGGUGAAUUAGCACUGGGGCUAUAACCAAACGUUUCUUCAAUUCCUGAAAGCUGGCCUCACAAUCCUUACUCAAUUUUAACUUGGUGUCCUUCAAUAACCCCGUCAUGGGCUUCGCUAUCUUGGAAAAAUUCUCAAUGAAUCUACGAUAAUAACCUACGAGUCCAAGAAAACUUCUGAUCUCUCCAACUGAGGUGGGUGCGACCGACUUAGUGACAGAUGCAACCUUGGUAGGGUCUACUGCUAUUCCUUCUCCUGAUAUAACAUGUCUGAGAAAUCCAACUUCCUUCAACGAAAACUCACAUUUGCUGAACUUGGCAUACAACUAAUGUUCCCUGAGCUUCUCAAGAACAAAGCGCAAAUGUUCCUUAUGCUCUUCUUCAUUCUUCGAGUACACCAAUAUGUCAUCAAUGAACACCAUGAAAAACUUCUCCAAGAACUCCAUGAACACCUUGUUCAUCAUACUCAUGAAAUAGGUAGGGGCAUUAGUCAAACCAAAUGACAUAACUGUAUACUCAUAUAGCCCAUACCUCGUGGUAAAAGCUGUCUUAGGUAUAUCCUGCUCUCGGAUCUUCAGCUGGUGAUAACCCGGCCGAAGAUCGAUCUUGGAGAAAACAUUAGCUCCCUGCAGCUGGUCAAACAAAUCAUUGAUCAUCGGGAGAGGGUAUUUGUUCUUGAUCGUUACCUCAUUCAGCGCAUGAUAAUCAACAACCAUCCUCAAAGAUCCAUCCUUCCCAACUAGAAGCACUGGGCUCCCCAAAGUGAUGAGCUUGGUCAAAAAUAACCUUUUUUUAGUAACUCCUUAAUCAGCUUCUUAACUUCCUCCAGAUCAUUUGUGGGCAUCCGAUACGGUCUCUUUGGUAUUGGUCCGGUGCCUGGCAGUAACUCAAUCAAAAACUCAAUAUCUCGAUCUGGUGGCAUGCCUAGUAACUCUUACGAAAAUACAUCGGGGUAAUCCUUCACCACCGGUACUUCCUCCUGGACAACCACUGGUACGCGUCGGUGCUAUACAAACGAUUUAAAACCCCUUUCCACUAUGGCAUUUGGAAUCGUCGCCUAGUAAGUGUGGGCGAUUAGGGGGACCUUCCCACACGACCCAAAAACCGUCGGGGGUAUGCCCUCCUGGCACACACGCUCGGCAAAAUGAGGCCGUGUGCGACCGACGAGCGACCAAAUACAGUUAUACAUACAAUAGUGCUCAAAAAAUACAAUUAUACAUGCGAAAUCAUUUCCGGUCCUAAGUACAUCCCACACAGUCAGUCCUCGCGAAACAUUUCCGUUCGUAUAUACAUCCCACACACUCACUGCAAGGAAAACGUUUCCGUUUGUAGGUACAUCACACACAAUUUUCCCUGUUAAAUCGUUUGUGAUGGCAUUCCCAUCGCACACAAUAUUAAAAAAUUUAUCGUUUGUGAUAUUGAAUGCAUCACACACGAUGCAUAGAAGAAACUGUGUGGCAAAGGCUAUCCAUCACACACAGUUUUCAUGCGGUAAAUGUUUGCGCAAGGUGGCCUAAUGCAAACAAUUUUGAAGAGAAUGUCAUGUGUGAUUAUUCAUAGAUUCAACAUGGUUUAUUCCUAGAAACUGUGUGCGUUGCCUUAGGUCAUCGCCCACGGUAUUUUCUCAAUAACCGUUUGCAAUAGCAAAAACCAAUUAGCAGGCUAAUUGCCCUAUUAUUAAUAAUCCAUUUAUUAAUCUAAUUGACAUUCAUAUUAAACACAUAAUAUAUUUCAUUCCCAUAUUAAGGAAGCAGGAUUUCAUAAGUGAAAUACAUCAGAGAACAACAUGAUAGCUUCAGCACUCAGCUACCCCAUUACACAACUGCACCAGCACUAAGUUUCACAUGACCUUUUGAAAUUAGCAUCAUAGACGGUACACAGACAGAUGCAUCUCAUCGGGAAAACUGCUGAAAUGGAAGGCGAAUAUUGAGCCUUCAUUAAUGUUGAAGGUCUUUGCAACUUCAGGACAGUGCCUGUGGAUGAUUGACCGCCCAUCCUUCGCCCUCUUCAGGAACACUUCAAUAUUGAAACAUGGGUGUUGUAUGAAUACCUUCCUCGCUGGUACGUCUCCAACGUAUCUACUUUUCCAAACAGUUUUGCCCUUGUUUUGCAAUCUAACUUGCAUGAUUUGAAUGAAACUAACCCGGACUAACGCUGUUUUCAGCAGAGCUGCCAUGAUGUUGUUUUAUGUGUAGAAAAGAAAAGUUCUUGGAAUGUCCUGGAAAUCCACGGAGGCACUUUUCAGAUUUAAUAAGAAUUUUUGGUGAAAGAAUUAGUGCCAGGGGGCCCACGGCCUGUCCACGAGACAGGGGGGCGCCCCCCUAGGGCCCCCUGGACCUCCUCCGACCUCAACUCCAACUCCAUAUAUUCUGUCUCGGGGAGAAAAAAAUCAAGGAGAAAGUUUCAUUGCGUUUCAUGACACGGAGCCGCCGCCAAGCCCUAAUCUCUCUCGGGAGGGUUGAUCUGGAGUCCGUUAGGGCCUCCAGAGAGUGGGAUUCGUCGCUGUCGUCAUCAUCAACCAUCCUCCAUCACCAAUUUCAUGAUUCUCACCGCCGUGCGUGAGUAAUUCCAUCGUAGGCUUGCUGGACGGUGAUGGGUUGGAUGAGAUUUACCAUGUAAUCAAGUUAGUUUUGUUAGGGUUUGAUCCCUAGUAUCCACUAUGUUCUGAGAUUGAUGUUGCUAUGACUUUGCUAUGCUUAAUGCUUGUCACUAGGGCCCGAGUGCCAUGAUUUCAGAUCUGAACCUAUUAUGUUUUCGUGAAUAUAUGUGUGUUCUUGAUCCUAUCUUGCAACUCUAUAGUCACCUAUUAUGUGUUAUGAUCCGACAACCCCGAAGUGACAAUAAUCGGGAUACUUCUCGGUGAUGACCGUAGUUUGAGGAGUUCAUGCAUUCACUAUUUGCUAAUGCUUUAUUCCGGUUCUCUAUUAAAAGGAGGCCUUAAUAUCCCUUAGUUCACGUAAGGACCCCGCUGCAAUGGGAGGGUAGGACAAAAGAUGUCAUACAAGUUCUUUUCCAUAAGCACGUAUGACUAUUUACGGAAUACAUGCCUACAUUACAUUGAUGAAUUGGAGCUAGUUCUAUAUCACCCUAUGUUAUAACUAUUGCAUGAGGAAUCACAUCCAACAUAAUUAUCCAUCACUGAUCCAUUGCGUACGAGCUUUUCACAUAUUGUUCUUCGCUUAUUUACUUUUUCGUUGCUACUGUUACAACUAUUACAAAAACCCAAAAACAUUUACCUUUACUUUUGCUAUCGCUAGUAUUAUUACCACACCACUUUUGCUACUAAAUACUUUGCUGCAGAUACUAAGUUAUCCAGGUGUGGUUGAAUUGACAACUCAACUGCUAAUACUCAAGAAUAUUCUUUGGCUCCCCUUGUGUUGAAUCAAUAAAUUUGGGUUGAAUACUCUACCCUCGAAAGCUAUUGUGAUCCCCUAUACUUGUGGGUUAUCUAGACUAAUUUCUGGCGCCGUUGUCAGGGAGCAUAGCUCUAUUCUCUGAGCCACUUGGGAUUUAUAUCUGUUGAUCACUAUGAAGAACUUGAAAGAUGAUCGAACUACUAUUUUGCCUUCAACUACGAGGGGAGGUAAGGAACUACCAUCUAGCUCUGCACUAGAUUCUCCUUCCGUUAUUAGUAGGCUUGCGACACCUAAACCUACUACUGCUACGAAUUCUGAUAUGUCGCAUGUUAUUGAUGAUGCCACUUCUGUUAUGCAUGAUGAAACUGCUUCUGUGUGUGAUACUACUUUGCCAUUAGGUGAAUUUCUUGAUGAACAACUUGCUAGAUUUAGGGGGAAUGAAAUUACUCAAGAUCCUAUUACUGAUGAUAGUGAUGAUGAAGGUCCCCCCAAUGAUUAUGUAUUACCUGUUGUUCCUAAGGGUUAUGUUAUGAAUGAAAAAGCUGCUAUGGAAAUUCUUGCUUGCAAUGAUAGAAAUGAUCUUAAGAAAUUAUUAGCUAAAUGGAAGCAGCAGUCUCUUAAUUCUAGAAUGAAACCCGAUCCUGCUUUUGCUACUUCACCUAUGUGAGUUACUGAUAAGGAUUAUGAAUUCUCUAUUGAUCCUGAUAUUAUUACUUUAGUUGAAUCUGAUCCUUUUUAUGGCCUUGAAUCUGAAACUGUUGUGGCACAUCUUACCAAGUUGAGUGAUAUAGCCACCCUGUUUACUAAUGAUGAGAAGUCUCGCUAUUUAUAUAUCCUUAAGAUAUUUCCGUUCUCAUUAAAGGGUGAUGCUAAGACUUGGUAUAAUUCUCUUGCUCCUAGUUGUGUGUGUAGUCCCCACGAUAUGAUUUAUUACUUCUCUGCUAAAUAUUUUCCUGCUCAUAAGAAACAAGCUGCCUUGCGGGAAAUAUAUAAUUUUGUGCAAAUCAAAGAAGAGAGUCUCCCACAAGCUUGGGGGAGGCUUCUCCAGUUACUUAAUGCUUUGCCUGAUCACCCUCGUAAGAAAAAUGAAAUACUUGAUAUCUUUUAUAAUGGACUAAUCGAUGCUUCCAAGGACUACUUGGAUAGUUGUGCUGGUUGUGUUUUCACGGAAAGAACAGUCGACGAAGCUAAAAUAUUAUUGAAUAAUAUGUUGACUAAUGAAAAUAAUUGGACUCUUCCUGAGCCAAUUCCUGAAGUAAUUCCUGAACCAAUUGAGCCAACUCCUGAGCCUAUUCCUAAACCCACUCCGAAGAAGAGAGGUGUUUUAUUUCUCAGUCCUGAAGAUAUGCAAGAAGCAAAGAAAUCAAUGAAACAAAAAGGUAUUAAAACUGAAGAUGUUAAGAAUUUACCUCCUAUUGAAAAAAUACGUGGUCUUAAUAUACCGCCUGAAGAACCACAUUGUCUUGAUAACCCGACACAUGUAGUAAAGGUAAAUUCUCUCUAUAGAUAUGAUAAAGUUGAAAUACCCUCUACUAAAUUUCAUAGACCAUGCUUAGAUGAAUUUGAUGACUUUAUGGCUAGACAAGAAAGUUUUAAUGCUUAUGUUGGUAGAGAGUUAAAAAAUAAUGCUUUCGAGAUAGGACGCGUAGGUGAUAAUCUGGCUAGAGUUAAUGAUGAACUUCACCGCGUUAGCAAAUAUGCUUCUAUGGUUGCUACUCAAGCUGAGCAAGUACUUAAAGCUCAAAAUGAUUUGCUUGAUGAGUUAAAUAAUAAAAAUGACUUUGCUGUUAGAUUGGCUACUAGGACUGGUAGAAUGACUCAGGAACCUUUAUAUCCUGAAGGCCACCCUAAGAGAAUCAAGCAAGAUUCUCAGAGAAAUAAUUUAGAGGCACCUAGUUCUUCUAAAAAGAAGAAAAAGAAAAAUGAUAGAACUUUGCAUGCUUCUAGUGAACCUACUGUAGACACACCUGAGAAUCCCAAUGAUAUUUCUAUUUCUGAUGCUGAAACACAAUCAGGUGAUGAACAUGAACCUAGUGAUAAUGUUAAUGAUAAUGUUCAUGUUGAUGCUCAACCUAGCAAAGACAAUGAUGUAGAGAUUGAACCUGCUGUUGAUCUUGAUAACCCCCAAUCAAAGAAUCAAUGUUAUGAUAAGAGAGAUUUUGUUACUAGGAAGCAUGGUAAAGAAAGAGAACUAUGGGUUCAGAAACCCAUGCCCUUUCCUCCUAAACCAUCCAAGUCAAAGGAUGAUGAGGAUUUUGAGCGCUUUGCUGAAAUGAUUAGACCUAUUUUCUGACGUAUGCGCUUAACUGAUAUGCUGAAAGUAUAUCCUUAUGCUAAGAAUAUGAAGGAUAUCAUCACAAAUAAAAGAAAGAUACCAGAAGCUGAAAUUUCCACCAUUCUUGCUAAUUACACUUCUAAGGAUGGAAUACCAAAGAAACUUGGAGAUCCGGGUGUACCAACUAUACCAUGCUCUAUUAAAAGAAAUUAUGUUAGAACUGCUUUAUGUGAUCUUGGAGCCGGUGUUAGUGUUAUGCCUCUCUCUUUAUAUCGUAGACUUGAACUGAAUAAGUUGACACCUACUGAAAUAUCUUUGCAAAUGGCUGAUAAAUCAACUGCUAUACCUGUCGGUAUUUGUGAGGAUGUGCUUGUUGUGGUUGCAAAUGUCACUAUCUUAAUGGACUUUGUUAUUCUUGAUAUUCCCGAGGAUGAUAGUAUGUCUAUUAUCCUUGGUAGACCUUUUCUUAAUACUGCAGGGGCUGUUAUUGAUUGCAACAAAGGCAAUGUCACUUUUCAUGUUAAUGGUAAUGAGCAUAUGGUACACUUUCCGAGGAAACAAUCUCAAUUUCAUAGCAUCAAUUCUAUUCGACAAGUUCCAACUAUUAUUUUUAGAGGUUUUGAAUUUCUUCUCCCUAAUGUCAAGAAAAAGUAUGAUAUUCUUAUUGUUGGGGAUUUUCAUAUCCCCGUUGAGGUAAAUUAGUGUUAUUCGAAAUUUCUCCGGUUCCGUGUUAUUCGGAAUAAGUUUGUUAACAAGACUUGAUCAACCUUGUUAGUGGAUUCAUUGUGAUGAUCACGAGAUGGAUGAAACUAGAAGGCACGACCUUCUGUACCCUCUUUUUACUUUCUGUUAUUUAGAAUAAAUAAAGCAAAAAUAGUAUUAUCCGUCUGUUUUCUGAAUUAUCCAUGCAUUAAAAAAAUAGCCUGAAAAUAAAAGUGCUCCAAAUGCCCUGCAAAUUUACUAUGAUAUUUUUUGGAAUAUUUGAGGAUUUUAGGCACUGAAAACACUGCAGGAGGGCCAAGCACCAGGCCACGAGAGAGGAGGGCGCCCCCCCUUGUAGGGCGCGCCCCUUGUCUUGUGGGCCCUUGGUGGCCCCCCUCCACUUAUGCCAGCACCCACACACUUCAACUUCUACCCAAAAAAUCCCCAUCCAGCUCAAGCCCGAGUUCUAGCUUGUUUUGCUGCGAAUUUUGAUCUCUUAGCUCAAAGCUCCAUUCACAAAACUGCUUUGGGAGAUUGUUGCUUGGUAUGUGACUCCUCCAUUGGUCCAAUUAGUUUUUGUUCUAGUGCUUUAUUGAUUGCAAAUUUUUGCUGGAUAGGUGACCAUGUUCUUGAGCUUGCAUGUUAAAUUUUUGAGGUCCCAAACAAUUCCAAUGCAUGAUAUAGGCUCUAGGCACUUGUAGGAGUAGUUGCUAUCAAUCUUGUUUAGUUUUAUUCACUUUUGUUUUGAAGUUACUAAAAUUUCAGAAAUUUUCAUAAAAUGUUAAGGAGGCUCUUUAAAGGCUCUUCUAGCCAAAGCUCUAAGGAAAAACAAGACAAGAGAAGGAAAAACCCAAGUAUAAUCUUCCUCGCUUAGCGGAAGUAUGGCCGUGUGAAUGGCUGUUUGAGGAUUUCUUGAAAGAAGCCGGAAUUCAUGAAGACUUUUAUGCUUUAAUCGGGACUGCAGGCCUCACCGGUUUCAUGAACGACCGAAUCGAUCAGUAUCUCUUACUUACCAAUACUUUCGUGCAAAACUUUUAUUAUUAUCCUAAGAAGUCACCGCCUGCAGUAUCAUUUCACUUAUAUGAUGAAUUCAAAGAAAUGUCUUUACGUCAUUUUUGCGCGGUAUGUAGGAUACCUUAUGUGGGAGAAUUAGAGGAACCCCAUCGUGAAGAUGUGGAUGGCUUCGUUAAAACUAUUGUUGUAGAAGAGCCAAAGAAGGGCUCUGAGGCAAAAGUCUCUAGCAUACACUUUCCUGUUUUACGCUACUUUGCCAUAUUUGCUAGUAGAUGCUUGACUGGUCAUGGGAAUAGUGGAAAUUUGAGUGUUCCAGAUAUUAUUAUUUUUCAACAUGCUUUGCUAGGAGACAAUACUUUUAGUAUGGGUGCCGUCGUUGCUAAACGGCUAGCCCGGAAUCGUACAAAAGGCCCCAUAUUUGGAGGUAUCUAUGCUGCACGCCUUGCUGAACAUUUUCAGAUACCCAUUAGGCACCUUGAGGAGGAGGAGACAAAAUUACCUCCUCACAUUUUAGAUUACAAGAGCAUGGUAGCACACAAGUUUAUUGUUGACAACGAAGAGAAGAUGCUCUUGUAUAGACUUAGAUUCAAUAAGAAACACUUUGAGUUUAUUAUUUUGCCUGCACCUCUAUUAUUUGAUUUGCUUGCAGAAAAUCGCCUUGUCACACCGGAAGCGGUGAACAACCAUCUGGUCCAAGCUUUUACUCCAGAACCUGAACCUGAGCCGGCACCUGAGAUGGACCCUUAUCGUGCAUCGUCUGUCCAGUGGGAUCCGGAGAUGACCAGCCAGUGGUAUCCUGAUUACACCUCCCACUACACCGGGGAGAGUAGCGGCGGUCCUUGGUAUUAAACCAACUUAGGCCAAAAGCCUAAGCUUGGGGAAGUACGUAUUUCUCACCAACUUUACAUUCAUGUUCACACACUAGCCGUCGGUGCUCAUACUCUUUCAUUGUAUUAUCCAUGUUAGUUUAAAUUUCCUUUUCUAGUUUUCUUCUUGUGUGUUUGAUAAAUCUUAAGAAAAACCAAAAAAACAGUUAGUUUAAUUUCCUUGCUUGUAGUAGAAAUUAAAAUGAAAAUCCAAAAAGAUUCCUCGUUCUUCUUUUUACUUGUUGGGAGCUUUCCUGUGUAAAUAGUUUUCUUUUCUUUUCUUUCUUUUGGGGGUCGAGAAGACUAUAUUGAAAAUGCUUAGUGGCUCUUAUAUGCAUGAUUGUUUAUUUAAUUUAGAGCCCAUAUUACUUGUCUUCUCUCUUGAGUUGAAUGCUUGUAGAUUCCAGCUUAGUCCAAUGCACGUACACUCUUAUUAUUAUACACAUUGUUCGGUCGUGCAAGUGAAAGGAAAUAAUGACGAUAUAUGAUGGACUUAUUGGGAUGAGAAAAGCUGGUAUGACCUCGACCUCUCUUGUUUUUGUAAAGAUGACGAGUUCAUCGUUCCCGAGUCAGCUACAAUGUAGUAAACAUAUUUGCAAUGACAUUUAGAGAUUAUAGUUACUUGUGCCAUGUUUGAUUAGCUAUGAGUUAUAAUGGUUUACCUUGCGUGCCAACAUGCUAUUAGAAUGAUUAUGAUGUGGUAUGAUGGGAUGGUAUCCUCCUUUGAAUGUAUUGAGUGACUCGACUUGCCACAUGUUCACGCAUGUAGUUGAAUCAAAUCAACAUAGCCUUCAUGAUAUUUAUGUUCAUGGUAGAUUAUAGCAUACUCAUGCUUGUACUCGGUGUAAAUUAAUUUUAAUGCAUGUUUACGACUGUUGUCGCUCUCUUAGUUGGUCGCUUCCCAGUCUUUUGCUAGCCUUCACCUGUACUAAGCGGGAAUACUGCUUGUGCAUCCAAACUCCUUAAACCCCAAAGUUGUUCCAUAUGAGUCCACUAUACCUACCUAUAUGCGGUAUUUGCCUGCCGUUCCAAGUAAAUUUGUAUGUGCCAAACUCCAAACCUUCAAAUGAAAUUCUGUUUGUAUGCUCUAGCAGCUCAUGUUUCAACUAGGGCUGCCUAUAUCUUCCAUGCUAGGUGGGUUAUUCUCACGAGGAGUGGACUCUGCUCCUCAUUCACGAGAAAGGGCCGGUAACCGGGAUGCCCAGUCCCAUGAUCCAAAAAGAUCAAAGCAAAUCAAAAUAAUUAAACAAAACUCCCCUAGGGCUGUUGUAUGUUGGAGGCACUCGUUGUUUCGAGCAAGCCAUGGAUUGAUGCUUGUUGGUGGUUGGGGGAGUAUAAACCUUUACCAUUCUGUUUGGGAGCUGCCUAUAAUGCAUGUAGUAUGGAAGAUACAACCAUCUCAUAGUUGUUGCGUUGACAGCAAAAGUAUGCCACUCAAAAUGUUAUUCAAUCUCUAUUUUAAAAUCGAGCUCUGGAACCUCUACAAAUCCCUGCUUCCCUCUACGAAGGGCCUAUCUAUUUACUUUUAUGUUGAGUCAUCACCCUUCUUAUUAUAAAGCACCCGCUGGAGAGCACACUAUCAUUUGCAUUCAUUAUUAUUGGUUUAUAUUGGAUAUGACUUGAUUGGAUCUCUUUUACCAUGAAUUACAAUGUUUAGUCAGUCCUUGAUCUUUAAAGGUGCUCUGCAUUUAUGUUUUGCGGUCUCAGAAAGGGCUAGCGAGAUACCAUUUUGUUAUAUCAUGUUAUGAUUAUUUUGAGAAAGUGUUGUCAUCCGAGUUUUAUUAUUAUGUCUCGUUAGCUGAUUAUGUUAUUGAUGUGAGUAAUUGUGAGACCUAUGUGUUAUUGUUAGUAAGGUUAGUUCAUAAUAUUUGCUGAAACUUGAAUGCUGGCUUUUCAUGUUACAACAACAAGAGCAAACAAAGUUUGUAAAAGUUUUUCUUUAUCACUUUCAGUUUAUCAACUGAAUUGCUUGAGGACAAGCAAAGGUUUAAGCUUGGGGGAGCUGAUACGUCUCCAAUGUAUCUACUUUUCCAAACACUUUUGCCCUUGUUUUGGACUCUAACUUGCAUGAUUUGAAUGAAACUAACCCGGACUGACGCUGUUUUCAGCAGAACUGCCAUGAUGUUGUUUUAUGUGUAGAAAAGAAAAGUUCUCGGAAUGUCCUGGAAAUCCACGGAGUCACUUUUCAGAUUUAAUAAGAAUUUUUGGAAAAAGAAUUAGUGCCAUGGGGCCCACGGACUGUCCACGAGACAGGGGGCACCCCCUAUCUCGUGGGCCCCCUGGACCUCCUCCGACCUCAACUCCAACUCUAACUCCAUAUAUUCCAUCUCGGGGAGAAAAAAAUCAAGGAGAAAGUUUCAUCGCGUUUCACAACACGGAGCCGCCGCCGAGCCCUAAUCUCUCUCGGGAGGGUUGAUCUGGAGUCCGUUCGAGGCUCCGGAGAGGGGGAUUCGCCGUCGUCGUCAUCAUGAACCAUCCUCCAUCACCAAUUUCAUGAUGCUCACCGCCGUGCGUGAGUAAUUCCAUCGUAGGCUUGCUGGACGAUGAUGGGUUGGAUGAGAUUUACCAUGUAAUCAAGUUAGUUUUGUUAGGGUUUGAUCCCUAGUAUCCACUAUGUUCUGAGAUUGAUGUUGCUAUGACUUUGCUAUGCUUAAUGCUUGUCACUAGGGCCCGAGUGCCAUGAUUUCAGAUCUGAACCUAUUAUGUUUUCAUGAAUAUAUGUGUGUUCUUGAUCCUAUCUUGCAAGUCUAUAGUAACCUAUUAUGUGUUAUGAUCCGACAACCCCGAAGUGACAAUAAUCGGGAUACUUCUCGGUGAUGACCGUAGUUUGAGGAGUUCAUGUAUUCACUAUUUGCUAAUGCUUUGUUCCGGUUCUCUAUUAAAAGGAGGCCUUAAUAUCCCUUAGUUUCCUUAAGGACCCCGCUGUAACGGGAGGGUAGGACAAAAGAUGUCCUACAAGUUCUUUUCCAUAAGCACGUAUGACUAUUUAUGGAAUACAUGCCUACAUUACAUUGAUGAAUUGAAGCUAGUUCUAUAUCACCCUAUGUUAUAACUAUUGCAUGAGGAAUCGCAUCCGGCAUAAUUAUCCAUCACUGAUCCAUUGCCUACGAGCUUUUCACAUAUUGUUCUUAGCUUUUUUACCUUUCCGUUGCUACUAUUACAACUACUACAAAAACCCAAAAACAUUUAUCUUUACUUUUGCUACUGCUACUAUUAUUAUCAUACCACUUUUGCUACUAAAUACUUUGCUGCAGAUACUAAGUUAUCCAGGUGUGGUUGAAUUGACAACUCAACUGCUAAUACUCAAGAAUAUUCUUUGGCUCCCCUUGUGUCGAAUCAAUAAAUUUGGGUUGAAUACUCUAUCCUCGAAAGCCGUUGCGAUCCCCUAUACUUGUGGGUUAUCACUCGCCUCCUGUUCAUACAGGUGAUUUGAGAGGUAAUCAUCAGUGAACUAUUUUGGAAAGGCCUGAAAACAAGGAUGUGCAUAAAUAUCUUCUCUAUAUUGGAAAUGGGGCAAAUACUACAAAAAAGACACAUUCAUGACAUUUUGGGCCGAACGAAAAAAAUUUCUGUCACACUUAUGACACUUCUGUGAUGAUAAUUGUGACAAAACCCGGUAUCUUCAUAGAUGUGGUAGGCUCCUACUUCUAUGACAAAAAAUCAUGACAGAAAAUGGGCUUUUCGUCCUGGGCAGGCCGGAGACGCAGCUGCAUGACAUUCUUUGGGCCGUCCAUGACAGAAAAAACCAUGGUAGAAGCGAGGGCGAGGAAAAUUUCGGCGAGUUCCCGGUUACGGUGGGUGGUCGGGGGCUGAGCGAUGCGUGUUUCACUCAUAGACAUACGCGCAUGUGCGAGGCCUUAGGCUCUAACUGAACCUGAGCGAGGUGUUGGGCUCUAACUGAACCCGAGCGAUUGCACUGCAGGCUACGCGCUACUGAACCCGAGCAAUCAAUCGAUGGCUGUUAACUGAACCCGAUCGAGCGAUUCCUUUGCUACUGCUGCUAACUGAAGACGAUUGAUGCUGCCUCUGGAUGAACAGUGNNNNNNNNNNNNNNNNNNNNNNNNNNNNNNNNNNNNNNNNNNNNNNNNNNNNNNNNNNNNNNNNNNNNNNNNNNNNNNNNNNNNNNNNNNNNNNNNNNNNNNNNNNNNNNNNNNNNNNNNNNNNNNNNNNNNNNNNNNNNNNNNNNNNNNNNNNNNNNNNNNNNNNNNNNNNNNNNNNNNNNNNNNNNNNNNNNNNNNNNNNNNNNNNNNNNNNNNNNNNNNNNNNNNNNNNNNNNNNNNNNNNNNNNNNNNNNNNNNNNNNNNNNNNNNNNNNNNNNNNNNNNNNNNNNNNNNNNNNNNNNNNNNNNNNNNNNNNNNNNNNNNNNNNNNNNNNNNNNNNNNNNNNAACAUGACCCCGUGGCGUUGCCUCUGGAUGAACAGGACCCCGAUCGAUCGAGCCAGUUGGGGCUGGAUGAACAGGACCCCGUGGAGGGCUGGAUGAACAGGACGACCCCGUGGAGGGCUGGAUGAACAGUAGACGGUGGAGGGGUGGUUGAAUAGGAGCCUGUGGAGGGGUGGUUGAACAGUAGCCGGUGGAGUAGCGCGCAGUGGAGGCUGGAUGAACAGGAGCCCAAGGAGGCUAGAGGAGGUCGACGGUGGAUGAACAAUAGCCCAUGGAGGCUGGAGGAGGUCGAUGGUGGAGAUGAACAGUAUCCCGUGGAGUCCCGUUUUUGCGGUAUGCCACACCCCUCCCGAUGAACAGGACCCCCGUUUCGACCGUAGCGCUCCAACACAAGUCCGUUUCAUCCGUUUUGCGGUACGCCAGACCCCUCCCGAUCAAGAGGACCCCGUUUCGACCGUAGGAGGUCUGUUUCCUCCGUUUUGCGGUAUGCCAGACCCCUCCCGAUGAACAGGAUCCCAUUUCGAACGUGGCCAGUCGAACACAAGGCCGUUUCCUCCGUUCUGCGGUAUGCCAGGCCUCGUUUCCAUCGCCUGUUUCGUCCAAGGCGGUUGGCUCCCACGCGUUCCGUUGCCUCCCGAUGAAGACAACGCAUUUUGUUUGCCUCCCGAUGAACACGAUGCAUUUCAUUGCCUCCCCAUGAAGACGACGACGAUGUAGUUUCUCCGUUCCGAGCCAGCCGUGUACACGAGCCCUGGCCGUACGUAUGCGCGAGUAGGCGUUCGAGACCCCGCCCGUAUGUACGUACGUGGCCGUAUUUUCUUUCUUGCACCCUGGCCUUUGUACGUACGUGUACAUGACACGUGCGCGCCUCUACUAUGACAUGUGCAUGCCUCUACUACGACACAUGCGCACCUGUACAUCUACCAGUAUGUACGUACACGUUCGCGACCAGAAUGACAACGCUACGUAUGCUUCCACCAGGUAGGUCCCGAUUGUCAGGCACUUCCUUGAGUGCGAAGAUGUAGAUGGUGGGUCUCAGCAGUCAGGGGGGCGAAUUGUUUUUUAUUUUUUUCCCGGACACACUUCCUUGCAUGCGAAGAUGUAGCUGGUGGGUCCCAGCAGUCAGGGGGGCGAAUCGUUUUUUUUCGGAUGCACUUCCUUGCGUGCGAAGAUGUAGCUGGUGGGUCCCAGCAGUCAGGGGGAAACGUUUUUUUUGCGAAAUACGGUGGCCCGUCUGGUGGGUCCCUGCUAUCAGGUGGAGGAAUCAUUAUUUUCCGCAUAAUAAGGAGGCACUUCCUUGCUACGGCCAUGGACCCAGCUGUCAGCCUCUCCACAUACAGUCCACGUCCGAUGGAAGUCGUUCCUUGACCACGUUGACCACGCCGCGCCGAGAGCACCAGGGCGGUGGACGACGGCGAGGCCUAGGAAGAGGACGACGCGUGGUACAUGUAGACCCGUGGUACCCAUCUGAAAUCUUGUUUUGUCGUGUAGUUUCCCACGCUUUGUAUUCUUUCACUGCUGCUUUGUCUUGAACUGAUAUGAUUUGAACCGUGUCUCUAUUUUGAUUUGGCAAGACUAUGUAGUGACCAUAGGACAUAGAUAUAUGUUUGUUUGAUGCUUUUAUUAUGUACUAGUACUUGGCAAUAGAAGAAUUGGUAGUUUAAUCCUCUCCACCUUACUAAUGAACUGGUUCACCGAAAUGAGUUUCAUAUACUAGUACAUGCUAAACCCGUUAUGUGUGUGCUUGUUUCUUCUUUUAGAAUGCUGACAAAAUAUUGGGGAAGAGUGCCUUAUUAAGCAAUGGUAAAGGAAGUAAUGCAGAUAAGGUUCAGGAUAGUGACACAUCCUUGUUGGUCUCCAACAAAGCUGAUAAAACAGCUAAGGAAGACUACCUUGAAGACAGUGAGACAACCCCAAAGUCCUGUCUUGGUUUAGUGUUCGAGUUACUGGCCACUACCACUUGCACAAGCUAUUCAAACUCACCGUCUGAAUCAAUUCGGUUUUUUGAGUCUCAACUACAAGCUGAAAGACAUCAAUCAGCUGUGCUGCGACAAGAAGCGAAAGGACUGCGGAAGUCCCUUGAGCAUUCAGAUGCAUACUUUCUGGUGCAACAGCAAGCGUUGGAGGAUCUUAGUGCCAAAUAGGAAAAAGCUCAUAAGCUUGCUAAGCUUAUUCCCAGCAUGGUGGAUACCCAGGAUAAUGUUUCUUGAGCUCUUCUGAAGUUGUUUCAGUUAUGCUCUUGUUUUGCUGCCGCGUUUAUUUGCACUGGUGGCCAAUUUUGAUGGCCAGUGUAUGUAAUAUGCUGCUUUGUUCCCUAUAUUUGCGCCGGUGGCGAACUUUGAUGCCCAGGGGAUGUAAUAUGUGUAAUAGCGGUAAUAGGCUAGCGUUAAUUGCUUGCUUAUUUAGUUCCUGAUUGUCUUGUUUAGUUGUUUGCUUGUAGUCACUGCAGUUCUUUUUCUGUGUUUUUCUAGUGGCCACAAUAGUCUAUUUUGGGUAACUAGGCCAAAAUAAUCAUUGUAGCACACAGACUGUUGUAACCAUGGGCCUCCUGCGAGCCGUAUGAUCCAUGGGCCUUCUACGGGCGUAGGAUCCAUUGGCCUUCUGUAUGUGCCGUAGGAUCCAUGGGCCUUCUACGGGCCGUAGGAUCCAUGGGCCUUUUAUGGGGCGUAUCAUCAUUUCGCCAAUCAUGGGCCGUACUAUUCAUGGAUCAUAACGGGCCAUUAAUGGGCCGUAUUUGAUAACUAUAUGAAAACAGUCCAAUGGGUUUUUUGACAUGACAAUGGCCCAACAUAUUAACGGUCCACAAAUGGGCCGACUGUAACGACGGGCUGAAUUUGGCCCACAAGCAGAAAAUGACAAUAAUGGGCCGUAAGUAACCGAAUGAUGCAAAUGAGCCCAAGAAUAAAUGGGCCCUGAGAGGGCCGAAAGAUAACUUGGGCUGGAAACGGCCCAGUGGAAUAAUGGACCGUUAAUGGGUAUAAAGUGAUAUACUGUUCAUUACGGGCCACUUUCACCACGGGCCGUUAAUGGGGCAAGAGUUACAAAGGGCCUUAUAUGGGCCGAAAGAAGUCAUGGGCCACACAUGGGCUGGAAGCUAAAACAGGCUGGAAUCAUAUUGGAUGGCCCAGAUUAUGCUACUGGGCCUAAUUCGAAUAGGGCGUAACGGGCCCUGGGUUAGCGGGUUGUAAAUGGGCUAUAUGCGGACAUGUCGUUAACAGGCUUUCCGUGGGCCGGCCCACCACCUUUUGACCAAGUCAAACGGGCCGACCUUUUCACAGGAAUGGGCCUCUGUUGGGCCGUGCCACGUGUCGACGUAUCAUAGGCGCCUUGGGUCCAAUGAGUGGAUGACAUAUGUCCCAACGGUGAGCCGACACGUGUUUCCUCCAGCCAAUGAUGAUUUUACACAUGGAAAAGCCCCAUUGGUCGGGGCUGUUAAUGGGUUAUCGGAUCCAAAACCGGACCCUAUAGCUUAACGGUGUUCCGUUACGGUGGAUGCCACGUGUCGGUCACCCUUGACGAAAGCAUUUCUGUGACGCGCGAUUUAUCGUCAUGGAAGUGGACACUUCCAUGAUGAUAAUUUUGCUAAUGUCAUGGAACACUUCUACGACAGCACAGGUAUGACUAUCUUGAUUCUGUCAUAAAAUCAUCAUGGAUUUACAUGCAUGACAGAAAAUGCGACCUACUAUGACAAACACGUAUCAUCACGAAAGUGUAUUUUUUUGUAGUGAAAGGAAUAAAAAAGACAAGGUAUUAUUGUCAAAGGUAAUCAUCCUAUAUUGAACUGAUGUCUUCUUCAUUGUGCAAACAAACAUCUUGUUGUCUUUUGUCGCCAGUUAUUUAUCCUAAAAAUCUUUCCGAGUUUCUUGACUUGAUUGAUAUUCAUGGAAAACUCAUUUCCCCAUAUGCGAAAAGGGUCAAACAGUGGGUCAAAACCUCUGACAGCAGGACCUACAUGUGCAAGACCAAAUUGUUAAAAACCUAAUUAUUAGAAUGGUUCCUGCAAUUGCACAAUAAUGUGCUAUUAGACAAUGGACCAUGCACGUGCUAACCUCGAUUGUAAACCUCAGUGCUUCCCAUUAUAUUGUUUGUCUGCAACACAUGUAAGGUAGUUAGUCAUCAGGUUAAGUAAGGGUUCGCAUGCUAUCAGUAAAAUAUGUUGAUGAAAAAUAAGCACAUUGCAGAUUCAUCAGAUUAAUUCAAGCCACAUGGAAAACCCAUUUAUCCAAACCAAUCAUCAUUAAGAACUAGGAAAUAUAGCAAUUGUAUGCACUACAAUACAGAAUUAUACCCACGAGAAUUGGACAUUGCAUUGCAGAAUUGAACCAAGCGGUUAACUAAACACCACAACAAAUGAACCAAACAUUAACUGAGCACCACAUUGCACAACAUAACAUACUCCUAAUAGAAGAUCAGACAGUUAACCAAACCUAGCAUGCUUAACAACUUGGAAAUAUAGCAAUUGUAUUUGUUUCUCAUGUAUUUAGUAUAGUCAAAUUCAAUUUAUUUCUCACAUGGUAUACAAUAACAGAAUGCACCCACAACAAUUGAACAUCGCAUUGCAGAAUGAAACCAAACAAUUAACUAAACACCACAACAAAUGAACCAAAUGUUAACUGAGCACCACAUUGCACAAUGUAUAACAUACUAGAAGAUCAAACAGUUAACCAAAACCAAGCAUGCUUGAUAACUUGUAAAUAUAGCAAUUUGAUUUGUUUCUCAUGUAUUUUGUAAAGAAAAAUCGAUUUAUUUCUCACAUGCAAGAAAAUACAAAAAUGCACCCUGAAGAAUUGAACAUCACAUUUGCAAAAUUGAACCAAAAAGUUAACUGAACAAGACAACUAAUUAACCAAACAGUUAAUAAGUGAGCACCAUAUUGCACGACAUAUAGAACAUAUACACUAGAGCAAAUUCUUAAUGAAAGGCAGGAGCAGCACACGCAAUGGGUAAACCGAGCAUGCUUAACCGGCGUAGCUAGAAAAUGGCAAGGUGCUCCUCCAAGAUCUGGGGGUCGGCACGAAUAGCAGCCAUCGCGACCUCAUCUGCACGUGGGGCCACGAUUUGCUUCUCCGCUGCCAAAUGCUCCUUGAGAUCCUGGCUAUACUACGUGCACCAUGGCUUAGGGCGUCGCUUAUUUGGUGGAGGGGUCGGUGAUUUGGGUGGAAGGUGUCACGCUCGCGCCGGCGGCCGAGGCAUGUGGGAUGUGGAAGGAUGAGGAGGAUGGGGGUCAGGUGUGGAUUACCUGCCUUGAUAGGCGAGGCUGAGCAGCGUGAAGGAGGGCCGCCGGCGAGGAGGGUGAUACGUCUCCAACGUAUCUAUAAUUUUUGAUUGUUGCAUGCUAUUAUAUUACCCGUUUUGGAUGUUUAUGGGCUUUACUUUACACUUUUAUAUCAUUCUUGGGACUAACCUACUAACCGGAGGCCCAGCCCGAAUUGCUGUUUUUUGCAUAUUUCAGUGUUUCGAAGAAAAGGAAUAUCAAACGGAGUCCAAACGGGAUGAAACCUUUGGGAGCGAUCUUUUUGGAACAAACGCAACCCAGGAGACUUGGAGUGGACAUCAAGAAGCGAAUGAGGCGGUCACGAGGGUGCCCGAUGCACCCUAGGGGGGUGGGCGCGCCCCCACCCUUGUGGGCCCCUCGUGGCUCCACCGACCUACUUCUUCCUCCUAUAUUUAUAUAUCCACGUACCCCGAGAACAUCCAGGAGCACCACGAAAACCUAAUUAUACCGCCGCAACCUUCUGUAUCCCCGAGAUCCCAUCUUGGAGCCUUCGCCAGCGCUCCGCCGGAGGUGGAAUCAACCAUGGAGGGCCUCUACAUCAUCUCCAAGGCCUCUCCGAUGAGUUGUGAGUAGUUUACCACAGACCUUCGGGUCCAUAGUUAUUAGCUAGAUGGCUUAUUCUCUCUCUUUGAAUCUCAAUACCAAGUUCUCCUUGGUCUUGUCGGAGAUCUAUUCGAUGUAACUCUUUUUUGCGGUGUGUUUGUCAAGAUCCGAUGAAUUGUGGGUUUAUGAUCAAGUUUAUCUAUGAGAAAUAAUUGAAUCUUCUCUGAAUUCUUUUAUGUGUGAUUGGUUAUCUUUGCAAGUCUCUUCGAAUUAUCAGUUUGGUUUGGCCUACUAGAUUGAUCUUUCUUGCAAUGGGAGAAGUGCUUAGCUUUGGGUUCAAUCUUGCGGUGUCCUUUCCUAGUGACAGCAGGGGCAGCAAGGCACGUAUUGGAUUGUUGCCAUCGAGGAUAAAAGAUGGGCUUUAUAUAAUAUUGCUUGAGUUUAUCCCUCUACAUCAUGUCAUCUUGCUUAAUGCGUUACUCUGUUCUUAUGAACUUAAUACUCUAGAUGCAGGCAGGAGUUGGUCGAUGUGUAGAGUAAUAGUAGUAGAUGCAGAAUCGUUUCGAUCUAGUUGUUGUGGAUGCUACGUCUUGAGUUUGCGUUGGUCUUCCUUGAACAGGAAAGGGUGAUGCAGCAAUAGCAGCGUAAGUAUUUCCCUCGGUUUUUGAGAACCAAGGUAUCAAUCCAGUAGGAGGCUCCUCAAAAGUGCCACGCACCUACAUAAACAAACAAAGAACUCGCAACCAACACAAUGAAGGGGUUGUCAAUCCCUUCAUGGCCACUUGCGAAAGUGAGUUCUGAUAGAGAUAGUAUGAUAAGAUAAAUAUAUUUUGGUAUUUUAUGAUAUAGAUUGGAAAAGUAAAGAUGCAAAUAAAAGUAGAUUGAAAGCUUAUAUGAUAAAAGAUAGACCCGGGGGCCAGCUUUCACUAGUGGCUUCUCUCAAGAUAGCAUAAGUAUUACGGUGGGUGAACAAAUUACUGUUGAGCUAUUGAUAGAAAAGAGAAUAAUUAUGAGAUUAUCUAGGCAUGAUCAUGUAUAUAGGCAUCACGUCCGUGACAAGUAGACCGACUCCUGCCUGCAUCUACUACUAUUACUCCACACAUCGACCGCUAUCCAGCAUGCAUCUAGAGUAUUAAGUUCAUAAGAACAGAGUAGCGCAUUAAGAAAGAUGACAUGAUGUAGAGGGAUAAACUCAAGAAAUAUGAUAUAAACCCCAUCUUUUUAUCCUCGAUGGCAACAAUACAAUACGUGCCUUGCAACCCCUGCUGUCACUGGAUAAGGACACCGCAAGAUUGAACACAAAGCUAAGCACUUCUAAAGAUCAAUCUAGUAGGCCAAAUGAAACUAAUAAUUCAAAGAGACUUGGAAAUAUAACUCAAUCAUACAUAAAAGAAUUUAGAGGAGUUUCAAAUAUUUCUCAUAGAUAAACUUGAUCAUAAACCCACAAUUCACCGGAUCUCGACAAACACACCGCAAAAAGAGUUACAUCGAAUAUAUCUCCACAAGAGAGGGGGAGAACAUGGUAUUGAGAUCCAAAAAGAGAGAAGAAGCCUUCUAGCUAAUAACUAUGGACCCGAAGGUCUGUGGUAAACUACACACAACUCAUCGGAGGGGCUAUGGUGUUGAUGUAGAAGCCCUCCAUGGUCGAUUCCCCCUCCGGCAGAGUGCCGGUGAAGGCUCCAAGAUGGGAUCUCGCGGAUACAGAAGGUUACGGUGGUGGAAAUUGUUUUUCGUUGGCUCCCUCGAUGUUUUCGCGGUACGUGGGUAUAUAUAGGAGGAAGAAGUACGUCGGUGGCCGCCCGAGGGGCCCACGAGACAGGGGGUGCGCCUAGGGGGGUGGGCGCACCCUCCUAUCUCCUGGCCGCCUCGAUCGCUUCUUGACUUGCACUCUAAGUCCUCUAGAUCACGUUCGUUCCAAAAAUGACGCUCCCGAAGGUUUCAUUCCGUUUGGACUCCGUUUGAUAUUCCUUUUCUUCGAAAUACUGAAAUAGGCAAAAAAACAUCAAUACGGGCUGGGCCUCCGGUUAGUAGGUUAGUCCCAAAAAUGAUAUAAAUGUGUAAAAUAAAGCCCAUAAACAUCCAAAAGGGGUAAUAUAAUAGCAUGGAACAAUCAAAAAUUAUAGAUACGUUGGAGACGUAUCAAGCAUCCCCAAGCUUAAUUCCUACUCGUCCUCGAGUAGGUAAAUGAUAAAAAAAGAAUUUUUGAUGUGGAAUGCUACCUAGCAUAAUUCUCAAUGUAAUUUUAUUUAUUGUGGCAUGAUUGUUCAUAUCCAAAUGAUUCAAGAUAGAAGCUUAUAAAACAUAAAAAUAAUAAUGCUUCGAAGCAUACUAACAAAUAAUCAUGUCCUAUCAAAAUAUCAUAGCCAAAGAAAGCUUAUCCCUACAGAAUCAUAUAGUUAGGCCAUACUUCAUUUUCAUUACACAACAUACUCCCAUCAUGAACAACCCCGAUGACGAGCUGAGCAAUUGGUUCAUACUUUUUAACGCGCUUCAGCUUUUUCAACUCUUACGCAAUACAUGGGCGCAAGCCAUGGACAUAGCCCUAUGGUGGUAUUUGGUGGUGGUUGUGAGGACAAAAAGGGAGAAGAUAGUCUGACAUCAACUAGGCAUAUUAACGGGCUAUGGAGGUGCCCAUCAAUAGAUAUCAAUGUGAGUGAGUAGGGAUUGCCAUGCAACGGAUGCACUAGAUCUAUAAAUAUAUGAAAGCUCAACAAAAGAAACUAAGUGGGUGUGCAUCCGACUCGCUUGCUCACAAAGACCUAGGGCAUUUUGAGGAAGCCCAUCAUUGGAAUAUACAAGCCAAGUUCUAUAAUGAAAAAUUCCCACUUAGUAUAUGAAAGUGACAACAUAGGAGACUCGCUAUCAUGAAGAUCAUGGUGCUACUUUGAAGCACAAGUGUGGUAAAAAAAGGGUAGUAGCAUUGUCCCUUCUCUCUUUUUCUCUCAUUUAUUAUUUUUCUUUUCUUUUCUUUUCUUUCUUUCCUUUUUUUUCUUUUCAUUUUUUCUUUCCCUUUUUUCUUUCCUCAUUUUUUUCUUUUUGUAAAGUCUGAAGUCUCAUCCCGACUUGUGUGGGAAUCAUAGUCUUCAUCAUCAUCCUCACUGGGACAAUGCUCUAAUAAUGAAGAUCAUCACACUUUUAUUGAUUUACAACACAAAAAUUACAACUCAAAACUAGAACAAGAUAUGACUCUAUAUGAAUGCCUCCGGCGGUGUACCAGGAUAUGCAAUGAAUCAAGAGUGACUUGUAUGAAAAUUAUGAAGGUGGCUUUGCCACAAAUACGAUGUCAACUACUUGAUCAUGCAAAGAGCAAUAUGACAAUGAUGAAGCGUGUCAUAAUAAAUGGAACAGUGGAAAGUUGCAUGGUAAUAUAUCUCGGAAUGGCUAUGGAAAUGCCAUAAUAAGUAGGUUUGGUGGCUGUUUUGAGGAAGGUAAAUAAUGGGUGCAUGAUACCGGCGAAAGUUGCGCGGCACAAUAGAGGAUAGCAAAGUGGAAGGGUGAGUGUGCGUAUAUCCAUGGACUCACAUUAGUCAUAAAGAACUCAUAUACUUAUUGCAAAAGUCUACUUAGCCCUCGAAGCAAAGUACUACUACGCAUGCCCCUAGAGGGAUAGAUUGGUAGGAAAAGACCACCGCUCAUCCCCGACUGCCACUCAUAAGGAAGACAAUCAAAAGGGCACCUCAUGCAACAAAUUUGUCACACAACUUUUACCAUACAUGCAUGCUACAGGACUUGCCAACUUCAACAGAAGUAUUUCUAAAUUUCAUAAUUACCCACUAGCAUGACUCUAACAUUACCACCUCUAUAUCUCAAAACAAUUAUCAAGCAUCAAAUUGAUCCUAGUGUUUUAUGCACUUUCUAUGAUUGUUUGUAUUAUACCCAACUUGGAUGCUCACCAUUCUAGGACCAAAUUUUAUAACCAUAGCAAAUACCAUGCUGUUCUAAAAGACUCUCAAAAUAAUAUAAGUGAAGCAAGAGAGACUAGCAAUUUCUUCAAAAUUAGGCCACCGCCAUGCUCUAAAAGAUAUAAGUGAAGUACUAGAGCAAAAAAAAACUAUCAAGCUCAAAAGAUAUAAGUGAAGCACAUAGAGUAUUCUAAUAAAUUCUAAUCAAGUGGGCUUCUCCAAAAAGGUGUGUACAGCAAGUAUGAUUGUGUUAAACUAAAAAGCAAAUACUAGUAUCAUACACGACACUCCAAGCAAAACACUUAUCAUGUGGCGAAUAAAAAUAUAGCUCCAAGUAAAGUUACCAAUGAACAAAGACGAAAGAGGGGGAUGCCUUCCGGGGGAAUCCACAAGCUUAGGCUUUUGGAUACUCUUGAAUAUCUUGGGGUGCCAUGGGCAUCCCCAAGCUUAGGAUCUUGCCACUCCUUAUUCCAUAGUCCAUCAAAUCUUUACCCAAAACUUGGAAAUUUCACAACACAAAACUCAACAGGAAAUCUCGUAAGCUCUGUUAGUGAAAGAAAAAAAACCAACCACAUAAGGUACUGUAAUGAACUCAUUAUUUAUUUAUUUUGGUGUUAAACCUACUAUAUUCCAAGUUCUCUAUGGUUCAUAAAACUUAAUACUAGUCAUAGAUGCAUCAAAAUAAGCAAACAACACACGAAAAACAGAAUCUGUCAAAAACAUAACAGUCUGUAGCAAUCUGUAACUAACACAAACUUCUGGAACUUUAAAAAUCCUACCAAAAUAGGAAGUCCUGGGCAAUUUUUCUAUUGAUAAGCAUAAAAAAGAAUCAACGCAAAAGCACGUUUCUGUGAUUUAACAAACUAAUUUCGUGCGCGCAAAGUUUCUGUUUUUCAGCAGAAUCAAGUUAACUAUCACAAUAGGUUAUCCUAUAGGUUCUACUUGGCACAAAUACUAAUUAAAACAUAAAAACACAUCUAAACAGUAGGUAGAUGCAAAAUUUAUUACUAAACAGAAACAAAACCAAAAAACACAAAUAAAAU